CGUUACUCUGGAUCACGGACCCGAGGUACUUGAACUUAUCCCUUUUCUUUACCUCCUGCGCUUCUAGCCUCACCACUACCUCAUUCUCUCGCCUUACGUCAUUAAACUUACAUUCCACAUACUCUGUCUUGGUUCUGCUCACCCUGAACCCUUUAGACUCCAGAGUUUGCCUCCACAGCUCUAAUUUGUCGUUCACACCCCCUCGCGUCUCAUCUAUCAGGACUACAUCGUCUGCAAAAAGCAUACACCACGGCACCUCCCCUUGGAUACGCCGCGUUAACACAUCCAUUACUAGCGCAAACAAAAAGGGACUAAGAGUAGAUCCCUGAUGCAAUCCUGUCAGGACAGUGAAAUGCUCUGAGUCUCCUCCCGCCGUCCUCACCUGGGUUUUCGCUCCCUCAUACAUAUCCUUAAUUACUCUGCUAUAUGCCUGCGGUACUCCACUCACCUCCAAGCAUCUCCAAAGCACCUCCCUGGGGACUUUGUCGUACGCCUUUUCUAGGUCGAUGAACACCAUGUGCAAAUCCUUCUUCCUUUCCCUAUAUUGCUCCACCAACCGCCGUACCAGGUGAAUUGCCUCCGUCGUCGAGCGGCCGGGCAUAAAUCCGAACUGGUUUUCCGAGAUAGACACUAUCCGUCUCAGCCUCACCUCGACCACUCUCUCCCAGAUCUUCAUAGAGUGACUCAGUAACUUAAUCCCCCUAUAGUUAUUGCAACACUGAAUGUCCCCCUUAUUCUUAUAGAGGGGGAUCAUGGUACUCCACCUCCACGCCUCGGGCAUCUUUGCCGUCCUGAAAAUUUCAUUGAACAAUGCAGUCAACCACCUUACACCAGCCUCUCCAACGAACUUCCAAAACUCCACCGGUAUCUCAUCCGGCCCCGUCGCCCUACCCCUUCGCAUCCUGCGGACUGCCUGUCUAACCUCGUCUACCUUAAAACGUCUACAAUAGCUAAAAUCCCGACACUCCCCUGAGUGCUCCAGUUCCCCUAACACAAUAGCUCUGUCCCCCUCGUCAUUCAAGAGCCUAUGAAAGUACGACUGCCAUCUCUUCUUUAUGUGGCCGUCCUCCACCAACACUCUACCGUCCUCCCCCUUAAUGCACCUCACCUGAUCGAGGUCACGACCCUUCCUCUCCCUAGCCUUAGCGAGUCGAACUAACUUUUUCUCCCCUCCUUUCCCCUGUAACCCUGCAUACAAGCUCUCAAAAGCGGCCGUCUUAGCUGUCGUGACCGCUGACUUCGCCUCCUUCCUCGCUAGCUUGUACUCUUUCCUGUUUAAUAAUAUUUCUAAAUAAUCUUUAAUUAAAAUAAUUAAUUAAUUUAACAAAAUAAUUACUAAGUUUCAUUAUUAAUAAUAAAUAAACAAAAUAAAUAAUUAAAAUAAGAGAAUAAAAUAAAAAUAAAUAUAUAAGACUAGUCAUAUCUAUCCUUAGAAUAAUGAUCUAUUUCAGAAUAAGGUCACUAACAUGAUAUUUCACUGACUGAAAAAGAUAAAGAAAGCACACUGAUGAUAGAUGAUAUUUUCUCCGGUGAGGGUUUACCAAUUUUUUAAAGGGAAAAUGGGACGGCAAAGGUAUUUCUAGUAUGGGUUGGUGGAAGCAUGACUGGCGGCGCAUGGAAUAGCGCUGGUCGAUGGGGAAAGGGAAGAAGGGAGCGGCGAUAUCGACGGGAAAGGGGAGAGGAAAGGGAACGGCGAUGCCGGCGGGAAAGGGGAGAGGGAAGGAAGCAGCGCCGGCGGGUGAGAAAAGGCACUAUUGCGCCAAAUUCUGGUGAUGGAGGGAGAGAGAGGGAUAACGCUGGCGCGAUUGUGGAGUUUGGGGCGGCGCCGAUUUAGGGUUUCGCCAGUGAUAGCGAUUCCAAUCAGAUCUAUCUCCGGCAGUGCAAGGAAAAGGAAAAUCGAUGCUAGUACUGUAGUUGGCUUUGGCAAAUAAUGGUAACUAAAAAUAGCGACUGAGAGGAAGAAAAUAAGGGCGGCAGUGAUAAUGAGACGAUGAGAUUCCGGAGUCUCUCGCCAGAAAAUUUAAGAACUACUAUUUUUCUUUAUCUCAUUUAGAACUUUGACUCUCGAUUUUUCCUCUUUUCUCUAUUUAGAUGCAUCCGUGUGUGUGUCUGUGUAUUCUGUGUUCUAUUUGAAUGAUGAUGGAAUCCUCAAUAUAUUUACGGAUGAUGCGUGUUGUAUUAUGAGUGUUUGUUUCUCUAUGUGUGUGUAAAUGUGUACAUAUGUAAUGCCAGUGCAUGUUAUACCAUAGUAAAAUAUGGAGAAGAUGACUAUGCUUUUAAUCUCUGUAUUUUCAAUUUUUAGUCAAGCUUUUACUACGUUUUUAUCACUGACAAGGAGAAAAUCAGAUACUUUUCACUGUUAAUAGGAUGCACAUUAUAGAGACACUACAACAAACUCACAAUAAUAGCAAUUUAUGAAAUCACUUAAGCAUUUUCAUUCAUACUUUUCACAGUGACAUAUAUAAAAUAAAUAUUACAUGAUUAGAUAAGAACCUGUUGAUAAUUAAAUAGCAGUUUGAACGUCGUAAUGGAACUUCAACCUCCUUCUUUUCUCUCUUUGUUAAAUAUUUUCUCUCUUCUCUGAUUUUUUACUCUCUCUUUUUUUUUUUGUAUUUUUGAUCUUAAUGGAUGUGUUUCUGAUACAGUGUUAAUGUACGUUCUCUUGGUUCUUCUGUCUGGGCAGGGAGUCCUUUAAUACUGGGACUUUAGGAGGGAAUGUUUUUUUUUUAUUUUGGGGGGGUAGUUUUUAGGCAGAUAAAAGGGGAGGGAGCUUUUAAAAUUCAAAUUUUUAUUAUUAUUAUUAUUAUUAUUAUUAUUAUUAUUAUUAUAUAUAUAUAUAUAUAAUAAUAAUAAUAACAAAAUAAUAAUUAUUAUUAUUAUAAUAACAAUUAAUUAAUUUUAAUUUAAAAAAUACAAUAAAAUUUACAAAUAGUUAAAAAUAAAUAAAACAAUACAAAAACAAUUAAUUUUAUUAAAAUUUAGAAAAAUAAAAUAUAUAUUUUAUUUUAUUAUUAUUUUUAAUAUCUAAAAAUUAACAUUACUUAAUUAUUUUAUUUUAACUAAAAAUUAAUCAAAAUAAAAUUAAUAAUCAAAAUAAUAUAUGACUGAAUAUUUAAAAUUGAGGGAGGAUCAAAAAUCACAUGUCUACGUUUUUCCCCCUCUUUGCGUGAAAUCUCGAAGAGUUUUCACACAAAGAAGUAGACAAGAUAUGAUUUUUGACUCUCAAAUUAUUUGAAAAGUAAAAAAAACAAAAAAAAAUGUGACCGAGUCCUGUUUUUGGACAUCCUACCUAUCCCGGGUUAUAAGGGAAUCAGGUCACGAGUAGUUCAAAGGUGAUAUGGAGAGAGAAAGAGUUAAAAGUCGAAUGAGAUUCCAUCGAGUUUUCGGUUAACGACUUCCGCCUUUUACAUUCAAGUGACUAUCAAAAAUAAAAGAUGAAAUGAAAAUUGCAAUCUCUAGAAUGUUGAUUCAAAUCUUCAUGACUUGAACUUGAAAAAUUCACCCUAUUCUUCAGGCGGGCUCUUGAUUUCUGAUUUCUUCACCCUAUUCUUCAGGUGGGCUCCUGAACUUACAAUUUCUUCACCCUGUUCUUCAGGCAGGCUCCUGGACUUCCUUUUUCUUCACCCUGUUCUUUAGGCGGGCUUCUGGACUUACAAUUUCAUUACCCUGUUCUUCAGCCGGGCUCUUGGACUUAUAAUUUCUUCACUCUAUUUUUCCGGCGGGCUCCUGGACUUCCUUUUUCUUCACCCUGUUCUUCAGGCGGGCUCCUGGACUUAAAAUUUCUUCACCCUGUUCUUUAGGCGGGCUCCUGAACUUUUAAUUUCUUCACCCUGUUCUUCAGGUGGGCUCCUAGACUUACAAUAAAUUCUCAUUCUUUAGGAGGGUCCUAUGCAAAAAAUAAAUUCUCAUUCUUCGGGAGGGUCCUGAGCGAAAUUAGAUUCCCAUACUUCAGGAGGGUUCUAGGAAAAAGUAAAUUCCCAUUCUUCAGGAGGGUCCUGUACAUAAAAUAAAUUCCCAUUAUUCAGAAAGGUCCUGAGCAAAAUUAGAUUCCCAUUCUUCAGGAGGGUCCUCAGCAAAAAGUAAAUUCCCAUUCUUCAGGAAGGUCUUGUCCCAUUCUUUAGGAGGGUCCUGAGCAAAAAAUAAAUUUCCAUUCUUUAGGAGGGUCCUGUCCCAUUCUUCAGGAGGUCCUAAGCACAAAAUAAAUUCUCAUUCUUCAGGAGGGUCUUGUCCCAUUCUUCAUAAGGGUCCUGUGCAUAAAAUAAAUUCCUAUUCUUCAAGAGGGUCCUGAACAAAAGUAAAUUCCCAUACAACAUACACAUAAAAAUUUACCCCAUUUGUACUGGAAAAAUUUGUGUGUUGUCAAAUUUUAAUGUUUUAAAAAAUAUAGUGACAGAAUAAAUCAAAGCCUGAAAUAGCUUUGAUAAAUUCAUCUCCCAAAGAAUAAAAUUUACCAUAACCGAAAUCCAGCAUAGUAUAUUGUAAUCCUGAUUCUUGCAUUGACAGAAACGUGAAAUUGCAUCCUUUAUUUGAACAUAUUCUAUCUCUGUUUCAAACAAAACAAAGAAAAAUUAUGAGUUUUAAACACACGUGGUGGUUGGUUUGUGGUUUUCGGCUCUUGAACUGACUGUUCUUGCACUUUCCAUACUCAACUCCUUUUCAUUCCUUGAUUGAUAUCCAUUAACUUGUUAUACUUCUGGUCCAAAAUUCUGACUACUGAUACUCUCGACUCAAACUAUAUUUCUCUUGUAUAAUACCUUAGGGUUUAACUUUUUAUACAUCUUUUAUCCUUCCAGGAUGUCAAGAUUUGUCAAAUCACAAUCAUUCGGAAUACUUUAUUAUACUUUGAAAUGUUGUGUUUGUGCGUCGACCCUUUGUCUUGCUUUGUACCUUUGAAGAAGUUGGUAGCAAGUUUGGAGUCCUUUCUCACUUGAUCUGACGUGAAUUUGACUCAAAACACAGACAAGACAACAAAAUUUUUCGUUUGAUGACAAGGACACAAAAAUCAAAAAUCAAAAGGAAAAGACAACAGGCAUCUCUUUUUCAAAACAAAAAGAAAAACUUAUGACAUGCACUUUGAAUCAAACAACCAGAUCUUCCCACACCAAUCAUUACAACUUUUGUCCACUUAUUGAGUUUGAAAUUUAGCCAAUCUGGAACUCAUUCCUUGUGGAUAACAACUCUCUUUUGGCUAGUGGCACCUCAAAUGGGUUUUUGCCAAUGAUCCUAUCUCAUUUUUACUUCUUUCUCAGCAUACAGUCGCCUUAUGGUGCCCAACAUGGUUUUCACCAAUAAGACUCUUUCUUUUCAUUCAUUUUUCCUCUUCUUUUUUUUAAGUAAACACCCAAAAAUAUGAAAUAUCAUGCACCCAUAACAUAUUUAGCCUUAACACUCUCAAAGAUUGAUUUAAAGGUCUUUCUUAGGUUGUAAUCUUGGCUUUUGGAUAGGGUUAGAAAGAAAGGUCGGCAUGAGGCUCAAAAUUUACACAACAUUGGGUAAAAUAUUCAACUUUUGGAAUUGAUUCUUUUAAGAAAAUAAACUUUUGACCCAGUUUUCUUUCAUUCUGGGUAAUUUGAAUAUUUUUUUGGUUGGACCGAACCCCGAGUAGGGCUGCCUACGUAUCUUGUCAUAGCAAAAAUCAAGUCAAACGUAGUUCAGGCUCGUAAUUCUUUUGCUUGAUUUUGAAUUUUUGAAUUUUUUUUUCAACCUUUUUUUUCAUUUUAAUUUGAUUCCAAAAGAGGGGUAUGAAGAAAGAUAAAAGAUCAAAAGGGGUAAGCAAAGGUUGAUAUAUUAUUUGGCUAGUAGAACAAAAUUCCUUCAUCAUUUCAAUCUUUUAAAAUACAAGUACCAAACAUACAUAAUGUAAUUGUACAUGAAUAUCAUAUAUAAUAUUUUUUAAAUGCAUUAGCAUUGGCUGGCAUUCAUUCCAUAUUGCCUUCUAUAUCAGUCAGAGAAAAUUUGUCUUUGGCUUCAAUCUGAUGGGGUAGGAUGUGUCUUAGUACUAACUGACCAACUUCAAAGUGUCUAUGACACACCUUUUUGUUAUAUGCUCGUGUCAUUCUCUUCUGGUAUAGUUGUCCAUGAUAUGAUGAUGUUAAUCUUUUUUCAUCAAUCAAGCUUAAUUGCUCCAAAUGAGUAUUGACCCAUUGGUCAUCAUCAAUUUCAGCUUCUACAACUACUCAAAGAGAUGGAAUUUCAAUUUCUGCAGGUAUAACUGCUUCAAGUCCAUACACUAACAAAUAAGGAGUUGCACCGAUUGAAGUUCGAAUUGUAGUAUGAUAACCCAACAAAGCAAAAGCUAACUUUUCAUGUCAUUGUCGGAAACCCUGCACCAUCUUGCGAAGUAUUUUCUUUAGGUUCUUUUUAGCAGCUUCUACAGCUUCGUUCGCUUUCAGGCGAUAAGGAGUUAAAUUUUGAUACAUAAUCUUAAAUUGUUGACACACUUCUUGCAUCAAAUGACUGUUGAGAUUUGCAGCAUUAUCCGUGAUAAUGAUCUUUGGAAUGCCAAACCGACAAAUGAUGUUGGAGUGAAUAAAAUCAAUCACCACUUUCUUGAUCACUGACUUGAAAGUCGUUGCUUUCACUCACUUCGUGAAAUAAUCAAUGGCUACCAAGAUAAACCUAUGUCCAUUCGAGGCCUUUGGUUUAAUUGGUCUAAUUACGUCCAUUCCUCAAGCCACAAAGGAGCAGUCAUUGUAUGAAACUCAGAUGGAGGAGAAUGUAUCAAGUCUUCGGGUACCUGGCAUUCAUGACAUUUCUGAAUGAAACUGAUGGAAUCUAGCUCCAUGGUGAGCCAAUAAUAGCCUGCUCGAAGUAUUUUCUUUGCCAAAACAUACCCACUCAUGUGUUGUCCACAAAUCCCAGAAUGAACUUCAUUCAUGAUUUUUGAAGCUUCUUUAGCAUCUACAUACCUCAAAAGUCCCAAAUCAGGAGUCCUCUUAUACAAGAUUCCUCCACUUAGGAAAAAUCCACUAGACAAACGUCUAAUAGUUCUCUUUUGAUUACCAUCAGCAUGUACAAGAUAUUUCCCUAUCUGAAUGUAUUCUUUGAUAUCAUGGAACCAUGGCUCUCCAUUAAGUUCUUCCUCAACAACAUUGCAAUAUGCAUAUUGAUCAUGAAUUUGUAUAUGCAAAGGAUCAAUAUAAGUUUUGUCGGGAUGUUGAAGCAUCAAAGAUAAGGUCACUAAAGCAUCAACAAUCUCAUUAUGAGCUCUGGGAAUGUGUUUGAACUUCACUAAUACAAAUUAUUGACAAAGAUCUUGCAAACAACCUCUAUAUGGUAGGAGUUUCGAAUCACGAGUCUCCCAAUCUCCUUGGAUUUGGUGGACUAAUAAAUUUGAAUCUCCUAAUACCAACAGUUCUUAAAUCCCCAUGUCAAUGGCUAAUCUCAAUCCCAGAAUGCAAGCUUCGUAUAAUGCCAUAUUAUUGGUACAAUAGAAUCGAAGUUGGGAUGUUAUAGGAUAAUAUUGUCCUGAUUCAGAAAUAAGAAUUACUCUUAUCCCCACUCCUUUUACAUUAGCAACUCUAUCAAAGAACAACUUCCAGCCUGAAUGACAAUCAUUAGAAAUAAUUUAAUUAACAUGCAAUACCUCUUCAACUGGAAAAUAAGUUUUCAAUGGCUCAUACUCCUCAUCAAUAGGAUUUUCAGACAAAUGAUCCACCAAGGCUUGAGCUUUCAUUGUAGUUCGUGUUACAUAAACAAUAUCAAACUCUGUGAGCAACUCUGCCAUUUUGUGAGUCUUUCUGUGGGCAUAGGCUUCUGGAAAAUGUACUUUAAAGGAUCCAUACGUGAGAUGAGGUAAGUAGUAUAAGAUGACAAGUAAUGUUUUAGCUUUUGGGCUACCCAAGUUAAGGCGCAACACAUCUUCUCAAGAAGAAUGUACUUAGUCUCAUAAGUAGUAAACUUUUUGCUAAGGUAGUAUAUGGCCUGUUCUUUUCUUCCUAUAACAUCAUGUUGACCCAAUACACAGCCGAAAGAAUAGUCUACACAGAUAUGUACAAUAUCAAGGGUCUGCCUGACUCUGGAGGAACCAAGAUAGGUGGAUUUGACAAGUACUUCUUAAUUCUGUCAAAUAACUCUUGACAUUCUUCAGUCCAUUCAACUUUAGCAUUCUUCUUCAACAACUUGAAUACUGGCUCCCAGGUUGUCGUAAGUUGAGCAAUAAAUCUACUGAUAUAAUUCAACCUUCCAAGUAAACUCAUCACCUCCAUUUUGUUCUUUGGUGGAGGUAAAUCUUGAAUAGAUUUUAUUUUUGAAGGAUCUAACUCAAUGCCGCAUCGACUGACUAUAAACCCUAAGAGUUUUCUCGAUGGAACUCCAAAUAUAUAUUUCGCUGGGUUAAGUUUGAGAUCAUAUCUUCGAAGCCUUUCAAAGAAUUUUCUGAGAUCUUUGACAUGGUCAGACUGCUCUCUUGACUUAAUGAUCACGUCAUCCACAUAAACUUCAAUCUUUUUGUGCAUCAUAUCAUGAAACAUUGUGGUCAUUGCCCUCAUGUAAGUUUCCCCAGCAUUCUUUAGUCCAAAAAGCAUAACUCGAUAACAAUAUGUCCCCCUUGGAGUAAUAAAUGAUGUUAUUUCAGCAUCUUAUGGAUCCACAAUCUACAAAAGAUGCAAGAUCACGUUUGGCACAAUUAUCCAAAAAAAUAUGAAUAUUGGGAAGUGGAAAAUUAUCUUUCGGACUUGCUUUAUUUAAAUCACGAUAAUCAACACACAUCCGAACUUUCCGUCUUUCUUUCGAACAGGGACAAUAUUUUCCAACCAAGUAGGAUAUUGGACCACUCGAAUGACUUUAACCUCAAGUUGUUUCGUGAUUUCCUCUUUGAUUUUUACACUCAUAUCAGUUUUGAGCUUUCUUAGCUUUUGCUUGACAGGUGGAAAAGCAGGAUCAAUUGGCAACUUGUGAACUACCAAAUCAGUGCUCAAACCGGGCAUAUCAUCAUAAUACCACUCAAAGAUGUCUUUAUACUCAUGCAAAGCUUCAAUUAUAGCUUUCUUUUGUUGUGGUUGAGCAUGUACACUUAUCUUAGUCUCCCUAAUAUUUUCAUGAUCUCCUAAAUUGAUCGCCUCAGUUUCCUCCAAAUUAGGAUUUGUCUUAUUCUCAAACUAUUUGAAAUCUUUGCUUAUAUCCUCAAAUGUUUCUCCUUCAUCGUAUUCAACUUCUUUAUUCAUUAUUUCAAAAUUAGAUUGGAUUUUUAAAUUUAGUUGAAAAUUCUUCAUACAUGUCAUAUCAUUAGAAUCGACAUAGAAAGAACUGUAUGAUAGAAAAUAAAUAAAUAAAUAAAAAUCAGACUCAAAAUAAAAUGAAGGGAAACUACAUUUUAUUAAAAACAUAGAUAGAAAGAGUUUUAACCUAAAAUAUCAAGUUUAAAGUUAUGAAUUACAAUCCUAGAAUGAUUUAAAUUACAGGAGUAAAAACAAACUACUAAGACUGCAAGAAAAAUAAACAAACUACCAAGACUCCUUUAUAAUAGGGAGAGGAGUGGCUUCCCAAUUGUUAAGCUGGACAUCAGGGCCAACAAACUGCACAUCUGCAUUGCUGGUACUUUUCCCAAUUUCAACCAUAUCAGCUUCAAUGAAUAUAUUCUGAAAAAGGCCAAUCAACUCUGUAUCAUCAUCAUUUAUUGAUUCUGCAGCAGGUAACUUGGAAGAUCCAACCACACUGAAUUUGAUGAAAGACUCGUGAAGUGGAGGUAUCGGUUUGGUAAGUGACCAUGACUCUUUCUUACACUUUUUAGCCUUCUUUAUAUCUUCAGUAGUAGGCUCGUAUCCUAAAUCAAAAGUACUAAAGUUCUCAUAGAGGUUUACCGGAUGAACUAUGCCUUGCAAAAACAUCCCUAGACCUUUUCCUGGUUCAAAAUAAUGCUUCAACAUUUCAUUCAUUACCAUAACAGAUGUAGAGGACAAUUGUGGUCUUGCAAUGAGAUUCCCCUCGAGGAUAUGCUCAACAACCACUACUUCAGAAGCUUGAUGAAUUAGCACAUUAUCUGCAGUAUCUUCUUCAAUGGAGAAAAUGAAGUAGUCUUUAUACAUGGAUAAAUCUACUUCACCAUGAACAAUUAUUUCUUGCCUGUCGUAUUCAAAUCUAACCAUUUGAUGCAAUGUUGAUGCGACUGCUUUAGCCCUAUGAAUCCAUGGCCUUCCCAAUAACAUAUUAUAUGAAGUUUCAAUGUUCAGCACUUAGAAAUCCAUAGCAAACUCCACAGGUUCAAUUGUCAAUAUGAACUCUAUUUCACUAAUAGCAUCAGUUUUUGAUCCAUCAAAACCUUUGACGCAUACAUUAUUAGGUCGGAUCCUUUCCACAUUAACAUUCAACUUUUGAAAAGCUGACAUAGGACAAAUCUUAGACCCUGAUCCUCCAUCAAUUAACACUCGAGUGAUGAUGAAAUGUUCACAUUUCAUAGAAAUAUACAGACCUUUGUUAUGCUCAGUACCUUCCAUAGGCAAUUCUUCGUCUGAGAAAGUAAUUUUAUUUGCUUCAAGGAUCCUUCCAACAACUUUUUCUAGCUGAUUCACUCUAAUCUUACUGGGAACACAUGCUUCAUUAAGAAUCAUUAUAGCCUUGCGGUGUUCCUCUGAAUGUAUUAAUAAAGACAACAAAGAAAGUUGUGCUGGUGUCUUCUUCAACAAUUCUACAAUAGAAUGUUCUAGAAAUUUUAUUUUCUUUAAGAAUUCUUCAGCUUCUUCAUCAGUGGCAGGCUUCUUGACUGUCAUUCGUUCUUCACGGCCUUGUUUAUUCUUUCUUAACUCUACUGGAGCAUAACAUCUUCCAGAUCGAGUUAAUCCCCUUACUUCAUCUACAUCUUUAGUCACUUAUUUCCCCUUGGGCAUCACUACAACAUGAUUAUAAUUCCAAGGGACUACCUAAGUAUCAACCAUAGGCAGCUGUGACACUGGUUUAAUAACAAUAAGAGCUAUGGGAGCUCCUUUUAUAAUUAAAAGAGGCUUAUUGGAUCUUUCAGGAAUAAUGAGUUUCGACUUUAUUUGACUUGACCCAAUAUUUUCUGAAAUCUCUUUCUCCACCAACAAGGGAACAUUCGAUGAUUCGGGUUUUGUUAUCACCACCUCUGCUUCUGCAGGCUUUUCUUUUGUCAAAUUUACAGCAUUUGCUGAUUUUUCCAAAUCAGUUUUAAUUUUAAUGAUCGGCUUAAAGAAAAUUGUAGCAUCUUCACCACGAAGUAUCACUUCGAGCAUGUUUGUUUCAUUAUGAUCUGGCAGCGGAUUUUGAUUGACAUUUGGAGCGUCUGGACUUUCUACCAUGAUUUGUUGGGUAUUAAUCAACUCUUGAAUGGCUCUUUUCAGAUACCAACAUUUCUCUAUGUCGUGCCUUGGGGCAUCAGAACAGUAUUCACAUCUUCUAGAAUAGUCAGAGUUCUUCGGAGGAGGAUUCGGGAUCCUUCUCUCAAUUGGGUUUAGAACAUUCAUUUUUCUCAGCCUAUGAAAUAAACUGGUUAAGAUAUUCCAAUAGGAGUAAAAUUAUCUUUUACCAUGUUAUCCCUUUUAAAGUUGCUCUAGGCGAGAAAUUAGACCUGGGAGGGCCUCUUUGAACUUACGGGACCUGUAGAUGAUUUUGGAUGGCUGGUGCACGCCAUUGUGAGUAAGAAGGAACUCGAGCAUAUAGUUGUGCAUUGUAAAUAAGAUAUUGAGGUGAAGGAACAAAACAUAAUGGAUUUUGUGUGUAUGGUUGACACGCACCCCUCCAAUUUUGUCGUGGACUUGGCACGAUAGUUGCUACAUCCUCUUUUCUUUUCUUUCCCUUAAAACUUCCUGCACCACUUUGAAUUGCCUGGGUUGUUACUUUCAAAGCGGCUUGGCUGAUGAUCUUUCUUAAUUUUAUUCCAUUCUCUACCAUUUCUCCAACUUUAAUAACUUCAGCAAAUGUACUUCCAAUUGUAGAAAGUAAGUGAUGGAAAUAAUCAGGUUUCUGUGCUUGUAAAAAAAUAUCAAUCAUUUCAAAUUCCUUUAUCGAUGGUCUGACUCUCGAAGCCUGCUCUCUCCAUCUGAUAGCAUAUUCUCGAAAACUUUCAGUCAUCUUUUUUCUCAUGUUAGCAAGCGUAGUACGAUCUGGCACUAUCUCAAUGUUAUAUUGAAAUUGUUGAAUGAAAUCCCUAGCCAUGUCAUCCCAUACGUGCCAAAGGGAAAUGUCUUGGUCAAUGAACCAUUUAAAAGCUAUCCCUAUAAGGCUUUCUCCAAAGUAAGCCAUCAAUAAUUCUCCAAAGUAAGCCAUCAAUAAUUCUUCUUUUCCUCCUAUUCCCCUUAAUUGCUUGUAAAACUUUUUCAAAUGAGCUACAGGAUCGCCGUGUCCUUCAUAUUUGUCAAACUUUGGCAUUUUGAAUCCCAAAGGUAGAUGGACGUCAGGAAACAUACAUAAAUCCUUGUAUGAAACACUCUUUGAUCCUCCUAAUCCUUGCAUAUUUCUCAUACUCUACUCCAAGCUUUUAACUUUUCUGGUCAUGUCCUCCCGUUCUUCAUUCUUAGCAAUCUUCUUAAUCACGAUAGGAGUAUCAUGUUGAUGAGCAUGAUAAUGUGGAUUUUGGGAUUUGAAAGUCAUUUUAGAAGGAUACAACAUAUCAUGACUUGGUUCUCCCAUAUUCCUCUGUGUUAUCGAUUGAUAGCCCAGGAUAGCUGGUGCUACAGAAAUGAAAAGCGAGUUAUUUGUGACAGACGGAUUUGAUGGGCGCAUAGUAGAAGUACCAGCAACGCCAUCCGCAUUAGAAAAUAGACCGAAUCCAGGUGGGUAUAAUGGAUCGCUAGUUUGAGCUGAAGCAGGAUUUUGAUUAUUCGAAGUCAAAAGUCCAGGGAUUGAAGAAGGCGGGGCUUUUCCAUUCAACCAAGCUUGGUACAUCUCUUCCAUUUGUUGUUUUAAUAACUUAAUCUCUUCCAUUGAUGCUAGUUCUUGCGAAAUCAAUUGAUUUUGCUCCUCCUCACUGUCAGACCUUACACCUUCCUUGCAGGUCAUUUUUCUUUUUCCCUUGUAUCUGGUGUUGUAUGGAUGUGAUGCCAGUUUAACCACAAACCAACCACCAACUACUUUAUCUUUCUGUUACCAAGUAGCAAACAGGUAAGUGUUACAUAUUUAACAUAUUAUAAUUUCACGUUAUAUGUCAUGCUUCUAUAUGCAUUUUCCAACCUAUCCUGGAAGGUUUUGUGUUUCAUCCCGGCUUUUAUAGGCGUAUAUUUUUCAAAAAUUAUGAUUGAACCCCUUAGAGGUUGCCUACGUAUGAUGCCAGGACAUGAAUCAGAUCUUGCGCAGUUCAGAAGGAAUUUAACAAAAUGAUUGUUUUAUUAUUAUUAUUAUUAUUAUUAUUAUUAUUAUUAUUAUUAUUAUUAUUAUUAUUAUUAUUAUUAUUAUUAUUAUUAUUAUUAUUAUUAUUAUUAUUAUUAUUAUUAUUAUUAUUAUUAUUAUUAUUGAAGAAAAUAAAUAAAGUAAGUGAAGUAAAACAUAUGUAAUAUAUAUAGAAAUAAACAGUCAACUUCAUUACAUUCUAUAAUAUAAAUACGACAAAAUAACUAACCCAACUCCUAAAAUAAAACAUACUAACUAACAUCUGAAAACUAAAAGACAUAAAAUCUAAACAAGAAGUUUUAAAAUUGAAAAUGAAAAAUUAUGACAAAGAAAAUAACUAUCCAUUCAAGGAGACUUCAGCUUAAUAUGUCCUCCCAAGCUCAAGUAUAUGUCCUCCAAGGAAGUAGUGAGACGUUGUGCGAAAGCUGGCACUUGUACCAAAAAGUUUUCACGAUCCAACUGCUGAUAAUCCAAACCCAUUCUGGCAGUAUCCUGUGCUACACGGAGGACCUUUCCUUGAAGGAAACUGAAGUCCUGAUCCCAUUCAUGGGCCUGUCAAUUUCAAAAAUCAACCAUCUUUCUUGUAUGUUGUUCAUGAGCAGAAACAACUUCUAACUAUUCUUCCACUGAGAUCUCUCUUGAUCAAAUUCUUCUUGUAUGUUCUUUUCAACUUCUUGCAGUUGCUGUCGGCGAGACGCAGCAAGUUCUAUAACGUGUGACCCCCUAGUGGUAGCCAUUUUGAUUUGUCCCCGAAGUGCAACCUCAAUAUCCGCUGAUUUAGCUUUCUUUUCAGCAAAUUCCCUUUGGUGUUCAUCUAUUUUUGCCCUGGCAUGCUCUAAUUCUGCUCUCAAAGCUUGGUUGGCCUUAUGAUGUUCUCGCAUGGCUCUCUCAAUCCCUAUCCUGAUUACAGCUUCCUGAUCUAUAGGUCCCCUAACCGAUCUUUCUGGUCUGACUGGCGAACUCGACUGUUCUUCAAACCAUUCACAGCAAUUUGGGUGCACUUCUCCUUUCUUAGGCUCUAUGACCAUUGUUUCAAUCCGCAUGAUAUGGCAACCCUCCCAAAUCUGCUGGGCCAUUUCCUCCAGAAGUGGGAUCUCUAGUCUGACCUCAAAUACAAACUCAGUCAUAUUUUCUGUAAUGGGAAUUAUUUGACGUCUUCCUAGAUGACGUAAAACUCUCAAUGGAACAUAUGGUUGAAUACUCCUAAUACCCAUUAAUAAUAAGAACGGCCGAAUGACAAAACUAUGUAUGACUUGCCUCCAAGGUAACCAAGGGAGAUUCCAGGUGAUUUUAUCUGCUGUAAGAGAAUGAAAAAGUUUAUCCCAAUCUCUAACUCCUUCUGGGCAUUUAUAUUUCUCUAACCUCUCUUCGUAAUCUUUGAUGCGAUUGAAUCUUUCAAGAUUAAAUCUUGCCAUUGUAGGACGUCGGGAGAGAUGCUCCACAAUCCACAUCUGUAACAAGAUAUUGCAUCCCUUGAAAAAACUCUUUCUUUUCUAGAUCAUUGGUACCAUAGUGUAAUCUUUCUUAAUCAGCAUCUGUACCACCCCCGCUAAACGAAUAUUAAUUUUUUCUUCUCUUCUCGAGAAAACCAUAGUGCCUAGAAAGGCUACCAUGAAUGCAAAUCGUCUGUGAACUUUAUAAGCCUCAAAACUUCCCUUAUUACAAAGUUGUUUACCGUACUUUUCAAACCCCUUUUGCCUUCCAUAUCUGUCAUACAAAAAUUGCAAGGAAACCCAACCUUUUUUCAUUGAUUCUUCUUUUGAGUUUCGUAUGUUCAUGAGCUUGUAGAAUCUGUUUAUCGAAAUGAGCCUUGGGGCUAUAAGUUUCUUUCAAUGUAUAUCCCCAUAUCCAGCAUAGGUUGUUAUCUCCUCUACAGUCGGAGUCAACUCAAAAUUCGAAAAGUGAAACACAUUGUUCUUCGGGUCCCAAAAGGUUAGUUAUGCAUCAAUCACCUCCCUAUUAGGAUUGAUUGACAUAAUAUUCGUCAAAAAAACCCAAAUACUUAUGUAUCUCAUCAUAAUCGAAUGUAUCCAUUUCGUUUUACCACAACCAAAGCUGCAAAGGGGUACAAUCCACCACCUGAAGCGGUAUACUCCCAUCCCUCUUUCUCUUUGGACGCUUUCCACGAAUAGGAGGAGACAUUUUAUACCUAUUGACAAGGACAUGAGAUUAAUAAAUGUCUAGACUUAGGCAAGACUUAAUUCAUUAAUUUUUGAAAAUAAUUUUUAACUUGACUCGUGAGACCUAGUGCGACCAUUACUUAGUUGCAAAGAACAAUUUUACCAAAAUCAAAGUGAGAAAAACAUGACUGAUAAUAUUUUUGGGAAAAACACUUAUUUAAAUUGACUUUAUCAAAAACUUUGCAAUAAUAGACCUCUAGAAAGUUUUAACUAUAUAUUUGGAGACAAUACCCCCUAAGUACACUUAAAAGGAACAAAAAUAAAAUAAAAUAAAAUAAAAUGACUUAAAAAAAAAAAGGAUGAUUGUUUUAUGUAUGAAGUUGUAUAAAAAUUUCAGCCUCACGACCCUUAAAGGUUCAAGACUUUUAAGAUAUACGUUUAAAUAUUUUAUUACCUUAUAAAAAAAAUAUUCAGCUCACGACCCCUAAAGGUUCAGACUAUUAAUAUUUGUAUUAAAAUUAAUUCUAAGGAUAAAAUAAAAAUAAUAAUAUUCAUGAAAAUGAUUAAUUUUUAAUUUUUUUAAAAAAUUUUAUUAUUUUUCAAAAAUAUCUUUAAGUAAAUUUGUGAAUAUAUAUAUAUAUAUAUAUAUAUAUAUAUAUUAUUUUUUCAAAAAUACAGGAUCGUAUUCCGAACAGGAUUUCUUAUGUAUCUCAUUAAAGAAUGAAAAUCAAACUCUCGUAGUUCAUAAAAACCAUAAAACUAUGUUACUGAAAAUUUUCUAUUUUAAAAAUAAAAUUUUUCUUUCAAAAUGAUUCAUUAAAUGUGACGAUAAUUUAAUCUCUUGCAUUUUAAUGUUGCCUAAAAGUCAGUCAACACACAAAUAGCCUUCCAAACAAAUGUCAAAGAGCACGUAAGAUGCAUAUGUUGGUCUUUAUAAAGUAGGUCACCUGUCCUAGACAGACCGGGCCAUUGUGCCGAGUCCCGCUAAGUCAAAUGCAUAUGAUGCAAAUAAAGCGGCACCUAAUAGGGAUAACCAGAUUCUGAAUUUUCAGUUCUUCUAAGUUUAAGCCUAAUAGGGAUAGGUGUCUAGAAUGGCUUACUCAAGCGGACACUCGAGCCAAGGAGGGACAACUUGAUCGGUAGCAGGGCAACACCGCCUUCGUUGUCGAUUCGAACCCUGCCUAACAUGUGUGACUACAUCCUUCACUAGGUGCCUUGACACUCCGGCUAUCUCAAAAAUAAAAUAGGAUGCAUGUGUUGCAUUCCUUCUAUCCUAUUUCAGAGACUCAGAGAAGGUGCGCAAGAGAAGACAAUAUAUAAUACAGUUUAAUCAAUAUCAAAGCAGUAAAUAAACGACAAGUAGCACAUAAGGCCAACAAACACAAUAUUAACAAUAAUUAAAGCAAGUAUACAUCAAUAUAAAAAGCUCGAAUUCUUAUAAGUCCCCAGCAGAGUCGCCAGAGAUAUCACACCUCUUUUUCACUCAUGAGGAUCGAGAUAGAACAGUUUUUUUAAUUAAAGUGACGGUAUUGAAUAGGAAUUAAUUUAUUAUAGAGUCAGCACUUGGAAUUGAGUUGUGGUGUUCCAAGUCACCUUUUUGAAUCUCUAAUCAAAAGGAAAUGACUCUUUAUUGAUCUGCAAAAACAAAAGACCAGGUAAGGAAUUCUGUUGACCGAAGGGAAGGUAUGAGGCACCCCUCGAGUCCUGUGCUUCUACCACGGUCGCUUUUAUUGACUUAUCUUAACUUAAACUAUUUUGACAGAUUAUGUUAGUAGGUCUUAGUUCGCUCAUUUUUAUAUAUUACAAACUUAUCUAUUACCUUAUAUUAAAUAAGUCGUGUGAAAAUUAAUUUUAGAAAAAUAUUUGUCAAGGUGCAUUAUUGCAUCCUUGAAUUUUAAAAAUCUCGGAAAGAUGCGUAUGCCGCAUUCUUAAUUGAGACAAAAAUUUUAAAUGUGUCUAAAAUUUGCCUAGCAUUAGAAUAUUAACUUAUCUUUUAAUAAAAAAAUUUUAACAAUUUAUCUAUUAAUAUGCUUCUUAAUUUUAAUAAUAUUUCUAAAUAAUCUUUAAUUAACAUAAUUAAUUAAUUUAACAAAAUAAUUACUAAGUUUCAUUAUUAACAAUAAAUAAACAAAACAAAUAAUUAAAAUAAGAGAAUAAAAUAAAAAUAAAUAUAUAAGACUAGUCAUAUCUAUCCUUAGCAUAAUGAUCUAUUUCAGAAUAAGGUCACUAACGCGAUAUUUCACUGACUGAGAAAAAUAAAGAAAACACACUGAUGACAGAUGAUAUUUUCUCCGGUGAGGGGUUACCAAUUUUUUAAAGGGAAAAUAGGACGGCAAAGGUAUUUCUGGUAUGGUUUGGUGGAAGCGCGACUGGCGGCGCAUGGAGUAGCACUGGUCGACGGGGAAAGGGAAGAAGGGAGAGGCGAUACCGGCGGGGAAGGGGAGAGGGAAUGGAGCGGCGAUGCCGGCGGGAAAGGGGAGAGGGAAGGGAGCGGUGCCGACGGGUGAGAAAAGGCGCUGUUGCGCCAAAUUCCAACAACGGAGGGAGAGAGAGAGAUAACGCCGGCGCGAUUAUGGGGUUUGGGGUGGCGCCGAUUUGGAGUUUUGCCAGUGAUAGCGAUUCCAAUCAGAUCUGUCUCCGGCAGUGGGGGAAAUGGAAAAUCGACGCUAGUACUAUAGUUGGCUUCGGCAAAUGAUGGUAACCGAAAAUAGAGACUGAGAGGAAGAAAAUAAGGGCGGCAGUGAUAAUGAGACGGCGAGAUUCCGGAGUCUCUUCGAAAAAUUUAAGAACUACUAUUUUUCUCUAUCUCAUUCAGAAAUUUGACUCUCGAUUUUUCCUCUUUUCUCUAUUUUGAUGUAUCCAUGUGUGUGUCUGUGCAUUUUGUGUUCUAUCUGAAUGAUGAUGGAAUCCUCAAUAUAUUUACGGAUGAUGCGUGUUGUAUUAUGAGUGUUUGUUUCUCUCUCUCUGUGUAGAUGUGUUCAUAUGUAAUGCCAGUGUAUGUUAUACCAUAGUAAAAUAUGGAGAAGAUGACUAUGCUUUUGAUCUCUGCAUUUUUAUUUUUUAGUCAAGUUUUUACUUUGUUUUUAUCACUAACUGAGAGAAAAUCAGAUACUUUUCACUGUUAACAGUAUGCACAAAAUAGAGACACUGCAACAAACUCACAAUAAUAGCAAUUUAUGAAAUCACUUAAGCAUUUUCAUUCAUACUUUUCACAAUGACAUAUAUAAAAUAAAUAUUACAUGAUUAAAUAAGAACCUGUUGAUAAUUAAAUAGCAAUUCGAAUGUCGUAAUGGAAACUCCUAAAGGCAAUUCAACUUUAACUUCCUUCUUUUCUCUCUUUGUUUAAUAUUUUCUCUCUUCUCUGAUUUUUUACUCUUUUUUUUUUUGUAUUUUUGAUCUUGAUGGAUGUGUUUCUGAUACAGUGUUAAUGUACGUUCUCCUGGUUCUUUUGUCUGGGUUGGGAGUCCUUUAAUACUGGGACUAUAGGAGGGAACGGUUUUUUUUUAUUUGGGGGAGUAGUUUUUAAGGCAGAUAAAAGGGGAGGGAGCUUUUAAAAUUCAAAUUAUUAUUAUUAUUAUUAUUAUUAUUAUUAUUAUUAUUAUUAUUAUUAUUAUUAUUAUAUAUAUAUAUAUAUAAUAAAUUAAGAAAAAAGCAAGAUCCCAACUUUCAUCUUCUGUAAUACCCGUGCUUUUUCUUUAUUUUUAAUAUCUCAAAAUUAACAUUACUUAAUUAUUUAUUUUUAACUAAAAAUUAAUUAAAAAUAAAAUUAAUAAUCAAAAUAAUAUAUGACUGAAUAUUUAAAAUUGAGGGAGGAUCAAAAAUCACAUGUCUACAUAAACAAAUAUCCUAUUUAGUGUAAUGUUUAAACUCAUUAAAGUGAGGUACACGCGCAAGACGUGUACACCUAAACUAGUUUAUAUAUAAAAAGGAGUGGAGUGGAGUAUUUCUUUGAUCAAGGAUUCUAUUUAUCUGUUUUUUUUUUUUGCCAUUUCUUUUUAUUUAUAAAUAAAAUAUUCAAUGACACUAAAUUCGAUAAAUUCUCACAAGUCAAUAACUAUACAAUUAUAAUUACUAUAAUGCGCUUGUUUAAUAACUAAUGAAACACGAAGAGUAACGUUUUAGAAUUCUCCAUGAAAGCACUCUGAUUCCACAAUUCAAUAAAAUAAUUAGUUGCUAACUCUUAUUAUUAUUAUUAUUAUUAUUAUUAUUAUUAUUAUUAAUUAAGUAAUUAAUUAAUGGAGAAGUAAGUAAAGCAUCGUAUUCUAACAUCCCUUUAUUUUCCUUCUUCUGCACUAUGAAUUUUCUUAGGUAAAUUUCUCUUUAUCAAAGUAACACUCCAUGAUUUAACAGAUCAUUUUAUUUUACUUAUUUAUUAUGAAUCAUAAGAGCCAUUCAAAUUCUAUAGUUACAUUUAUCAAUAGCCAUUUAUUUUUCUACUAUAACGAUACAUUAAUGUGCAAUAUUUAUCAUAACAUUAAUAAGAUGUAUCUCCUAGCAAAUGUACAAUUAUUUGAUGAACAUUUCGAGUAAAAAUAGAUAAAAAAAGUCAAAAUGUGAAGAAAAAAAACCUUCAAUAUAAAUGAUAGCCAAAGAGAAACGUCAUAUCAUCUACUCUAUUCUAACUUCACACUAUUCAUGCAUAAAUAAAUAGAGGUUGAUAUGAAUUUAACCAAUAUGAAGUAAAUUAAAAAUUAGAGGAAGAAAAAAAAGAAAAGUAAAAAAAAAAUAAAACAAUUAAAUUCAAAUCUUUGACAUUCCUUUUUAUUUAUUUUUAUUCUUUAUGACUUAUUUUAUUUUUAUUUCUUCCUCAUAGUUAAUUAUGCUAUUUUCCUGAUUACAACUAUUAAUCUUUAUUUAGUCCCUAAAUUUUUUUAAAAAAACAUGUCAUUUUUUUUCUCCACGUAAUAUUUUAAAAAUAUCUCAAUUUUUUUACAUUUUUUAGUUACAUCUCCUAUCAUUUAUGUAAUUAGGAUGCCUAAUAGGAAACAAAAUAAAGAAUAUUAGUUGUAAAUUUAUAAACUUUAAUUUUGACAAUACUUUUCACUUUAUUUUCUCUUUAUUUCAUGUAAAAUCCCCCAAUAUUAAACCUUUUCUAAAAUAUUUUUAUCUUUUUCUCAUGCAAAUUUAAAGUAUUUUAACAAAAUUUGAUAGAAAUGUGAGAAAAGGAAAAUUUUCUAUAUCAACUUAAUGGUAAAUUUAAACUAAAACUUCUCUCUGUCUUUGUUUUUUUCUUUCAUUUUCUUAUUAAUUAAUUUAUCUCUCUCUUUCUUACAUGUUAAUUAUGCGUUUUUUCUAUUUUUUAUUACCCUAAAUGUCCUCUCAAAACAGAAUUAAAAUUCUUUCUAUUUUUGCUCGUAAUAUUUUAAGAAUAUUUCAACUUUCUUUCCUUUUUAUUUAUCAAAAAACUUCUAUAAAAAAAAUCUUUAAAAAAAAUAUGAAAGAAAUACCAUAAUGUUAUCGUUUAUAUAAUUAGCAAGAAAUUGCUAAAAUUGACCAACAAAAGCCUGGGAUAAUUAAGGAAUACAUAUGGUGAUCCAAUUCAAAAUUCAAGUGGAGCUUAUACGAAUAUAAUAGACCUUGCUAAAGAAAUUUUCACCGUGCUUCUCAUGCAGCCUAUCGACCUCAUGUAUCGUCACAUGCAAAGUACCAUGAAGUAAAAUUAGAGUUAUUUUUUCACCUUCAAACAACGAAUUACAAUAUAAUUAGCAACAAAUUAAAACACAAAAUUUAUAUAUUAAAUAGUGCUCCUACAAAUACGUAUAAAAUCAUUGUAUAAGUCGAACUCACAUCAAAAGAAAAAAUCAAUCAUUGCAUGCAAAAAGGAUAAUUUAGUAAAAUUAAAGAGAGCUGAAAAAUAGAGUGAGAAAUAUGAUCCGAUAUUUGUUGUAUAAAGGAAGUGAUAUUCACAAAUACAUAUUGCAGGUUCCCUAUGCAACAAAUCACACACCUUCUAGGAAGGAAUAUUAAUGCAAAUUGCUUAGUGCAUAUAGUAGCUUUUAGGGGUGGAUGUUUAGUUCUUCGAUUAGGUUAUUUCAUUGGUGUGUGUCAAAUAUUGAAUCGAAUUAGUUCGAUUCGGCUCAAUCUUUUCUAAUUCGAUUUUAUGAUUUUUUGCAAGUAAAAUAUUAUGUACCUGAUAAAUAUUGCACGCACCUCUGCAUGGUCAGUGUCUGUGCCUAGAUCCAAUUGGCCGAACUGAUUUCCUCCAAAAUCAAAAGUAUAUACACGCUAACAUCAACAUCAAAGUAGAAAUAAAUAACUAAUUUGAGCAAAAUAAAAAAUAUUCAGAUGCCAAAAAAUGAUCUUUAAUAUGAAUACAACCUAUUUUCUAUUAACACACACACACAAAAAAAAAAAACAGUAUAUGAGCAAAAAUUAAAAAACAACCAAAUACCAAAAAAUGAUUCUUGAUAUGAAUAAAAGCUAAUUAAUUAACACACAAACAUCAAAAAAAAAAAAAAAAAAAAAAAACAGAUGCCAAAAAGUGAUCUUUAAUAUGAAUACCAACUAUUUUCUAUUAACACACAAAAACCAAAAAACAGUAUAUGAGCAAAAAAUUAACAACACCCAAAUACCAAAAAAUGAUUCUUGAUAUGAGUACAAGCUAAUUAAUUAACACACAGACAUCAAAAACAAAGUAUAGACAAAUAUAAAAAACAUGAGAAAAAAAAUAAAAAAAUAUCCAGAUGCCAAAAAGUAAUCUUUUUUUUUUUUUUUUCUGUUGGCAAAAAGUGAUCUUUAGUAUAAAAAAACAAAGCCAUAACAGAACAACAUGAGAAAAAAAUUUAAAAUUCAAGGAAUAUACUGAGAAAAUGAAAGGCAAAAAAGAUACUUACAAGAAAGGGAUAGAAUAUCUACAAGCUAACAAAGGUCUUUUUUUUUUUUACUAAAGAACUGACAACGAAGAGCAUUUUUAAUUAAUGAUGACUUUUCAAUUCCUCAUUAGUAUAAACAAUAGUUAAUAAUUAAUACAGUAACUUAUACAUAUGAAUGAUUAUAAAUGUUACAAAAUUUAAUGGAGUUUAAUAUAUAGAAUUUAUUGAUUUUUUAAUUAGAAAAUAAGGAAAAAUAGAGAAAAAAAGUAAAAAAAUAGAGGAAAAAGAUAAAUAGAAUUAAAGCUCUCUAAGACAUGCUACAUGAGAUUGACUAUUGAUAUCUUUUAUAUAUAUAUAUAUAUUGAUUCCCAAUUGUUGAAGAAAAAGUCUUGCAAUUUUUAUUAGAAAUCUCAAAUUUGAGCCUUGGAUUGACAUUAGACUUUUCAACAUGAAUUCAAAUUAGUCGAGUUCCAAAACAAACAUAAAACAUAGGUGGAAACUAAAAGAAUCAAAAGGAAUACUUAGCAAUGGCACAAGAGAGCAAAGGGGGUAAGGUUAGUAAGGUGGACAUUGACAAGUUGUUCCAAGAAUUCACAUGAAAUUACCCAUAUUGCAAUUAAACUUUUGAUAACGGUUCCAAAAGCAUUGUAAUAGAGGAUCUAUUGCAACGAUUUUAUUUAGUACUAUAAUCAUUGCUGUUGUUUGAAAAUGGUGUUUUGUUGCAACGAUUUCUUGACGUGUUGCCAUAGAUGCUUUAUUGGGGAAAUAAAGCUAUUACGACAAUUUAUUUAUUCCCACCACGAAAAUUUCACCAAGUCCGCCAAAAUAAACCCUUUUCUUAACCUUCUAACCUUUUUCGUCUAAAUUCACCAAGACCAAAAUUGUUCACUGCUCUGACUGCUCCGAACCGGAAACUCAAACGAUAAAUUCAAUCACGCCGGCGCCGAUUUAUUAUGUAUUGUUGUCGGUGUUAUAUUCUAUUUGCAUAAUUUUUUGUUAUUUUAGUUGUAGAAAUGUGUUUUAAGUUUUAUGAAUUGUUGAGUAUUUAUAUAUGUAUAUGUGGAAGUACGGAGGUUUUCGUGGAUUAUUUGUGUUUAAUUUUCUUCUCCGACCUCAUCUCACUGCUCUGACGUCUUACUGGCUAAUCGAACUUGGUUCAUUUUGCGUCUUCAUCUCACUGCUCCGACAUCUACACAAGCUGCUCCAUCGUCUUAAUUUCCUUCCCAACUUGGAACACGUCAAGAAGCCGGCCUUAAUUUUUUGAAGCUGCUCCGACUUCAGCUCUGACAACCACUUCAAUUUUUGAGAAAAUUUGGUAUUUUCUUCUUUGAUUUGGUGAUUUUAAGGUUAGUUAAUUCUUUUAAUCGAUGAUUUUAACCUAAUAUUUUGAGUUUCUAUUUUGGGGUUUUAACCUAAUUCUUUAUUUGUGAGUUGCACUUUGUGAGUGUGUUUACAGUAGAUGUACUUGUAUGUUGUUUACUGUGUCGAUUUGUGGCUGAGUUACUUUGAGGUGUUUGCUGAGCUUAGUGUUGGAUGAAAACUAAAGAAGAAUUCUUUUGCAGUUGUGGUUUCUUUGUUCUGUGACCAAAUGGAAAGCAUCAUGUGGAUUAUUAGAGUUUAUUAUGUGACCUCCUCCUUAGAAGUUGGGAAUUUAAUAUUGAAAUAUUGUGGUAUUAUGGCAGAAUUAUGUAAUGCUAGGAUCAAAAAACAUGAAAAAGGUAUUACUUAAUUCUUUGCCAAAGUAUUCGUGUACUUUGUCCUAUCAAAACUUAACACAUGCCUAGUGCCCAACAAGUCCUUUGGAGCAUCACCCUGUGUCUCCUGGUCUCUCACCCUGUCAAUUCUUCCACACUUUUGAUGCACAGCCCCUUUAGCUAAACCAUCAGUGAAGCGGGGGAGGGGGGGUUGCCUGAUGUUUCACCACCUGUAGUCAAUCCAGUAAUCCACCACUUGUUAUAAUGCUUUUGGAUCUUUCGUUAACAACACCAACAACAUACCGUUUGGAUCAUUCGUUACUUCUCAAAAAUAAAGGCCGCCUAGUAGGAUCGGGAAAAUAUCUGUGUUGUAGUACUUUACGGAUUGCUAGAGUUAGAAUCUGCAUUCCCUCUAUGCAUCACCUUAACACCUUUUCUUUCUUAACCUAAAUCAACUCCUAUUCUGGCGGCGCUGCAAGCUGCAUUGUUAAUGAUGCUUUCUUCCUGAUCACUAUAUGGAUAAUCCAUGUUUCCUAGUGCAAAAAGGUUUUGAUUUGCCUCACCUGUGGAAGAGUCAGUUCCGAUACUUUGGUCAAGAAACUACUUGUUUCCCCACUGAUCGAAGCCUCUUCCAAUAGGGGCAAACAUAGGCUGUCUCUUGGAGGUUCCAAAAGAAUUGUAAGUGUUGUGCAUUUGGUUUUGAUGCUUGUUGCUAUUAAGCCAGCUAAGGAGUUCUGUGUUUUGAGUCUUCUUAUUGUCACACCAGUUUAGAGCUCCAUGGUUUUGGUGGAAGUCACAUUGAACCAGUUAUAGAGCAGUUCUGUUUCUUGAUUUUUCAUUGUGUUUUCUGAUAAAAGCUUUGCAUGUUUCCCAGAUUUGUUUAGCUUCUUGAUCAGUGUUGUGGAGUCCACAUUCCCGGAUUCUAUGACCCCUUGUUCAUCAACAUCCAUUUUCACAUGAUAAACCCCUGAAACCAAAUGUUUUGUCCAUAAUGUGUGUAACUUUUAAAGUAUGAACUUACUCUGUUCUUUUGCUGAAAGCAUGUAAGUUUGAUGCAUACACUCCUUAGGAAAAAGAUUAAUUAAUAUCUGCCAAAUCAAGAGUGUUGAAAUAUUUUUGCACACUCUCUGUCUUUUUCUCCUGGUGUGCAUGUUGGAGAAAGAAGGUUGUAACUGUUAGUAUGCAUAACUUGUAUUAAAUGAAAAAUGAGUACCUUCAAUUUUUUUUAAGCAGUUUCUUCACCUUCCGCAUGCAUCCGUGACAAUUGAUCUGAAAUUUAAGAACUUAAGUCUGUAAACAAAAAUUACAAAUCAGUAGUUAAAGAAGGACGAAGAUAAUGGUAAAAGAAAACUACUCUUGAGAAAAAAUGAGAGGAGGAACUGAUGAGAAGUAAGUGAAUAACUUGAAUUCUCACAAGAUCAAAGUCUUGGGCAGUAGCAGACAUUUUUCAGGUAGUUAGCAGUGUUUAGUUUGUUCUCUUUUUUUGGCCAAGUGGUAGCCAGUAAGGACAGUGUUUUUCUUGACAUGUUUAUUUCAAGAGGGUGUAUCUCAUUGCAUCUUAUCUCGGAAACUCCGUUGUCAAUGUCGUCUAGGCCAGUUGCUCUUGACUGAGUAUAUGCGUCUAUAUGUCAUUCUGUUUGAUGUGUAGGUAGAAUAAAUUGCUCUCAGAUAUCAACUUGUUUGAUUAGGUCUUGUACAUCAGCAAAACACAAGUGUGUAAGUUGCAGGCUUGUACAUUAUGGAUGAUACUCAAACCCCUCCAUAAUUGUAGCCAUAAACAUUGACUUUGUAAAAUAUUUCAUACAAAUGACAAAGAUAAGGGGUGAUAUAGGAUCUCCUUGUCUAAGCCUUCUUUUUCCCUUAAUAUUUCCAUAUAGUCCUCUAUGUAAUGCAAGUGUAAAUUGGGUAUUUGUUAAGCACUCCAUAACCCACUUGAGGAACUGGUGUGGGAAGUUAAGUACAUGUAACAUUUCUCUAACAAGUUUCCAUUCAACUGUAUCAUAUGUAUCAUAUGCUUUCUUGAGAUCCACCUUCAUUAAGCAACUUUUCUAAGCCUGCUUCUUAUUGUACAAUCUCACUAAAUCCUAGCAAAUUAAGACAUUUUGUGCAAUGCUUCUUCCUGGUGCAAAUUCACUUUGAUUCCCUGAGAUUAUUUUAGGCAGCACCAAACUUAGCUUAUUGCAUAACACCUUCAAAUGACCUUGUAGAUUGUAUUGCAACAAGCUACAGGUCUUCAAUCUUCCACUCCUUCUGCAUGAUCCAUUUUCGGUAUCAGGCUGCAUAUCUAUGAGGCCAAGAUUUUUUCUCAAUUUCGCUCCACUACUGGUAGCUAUAGUCUCAGUCAUAUUAUUGCUACUACAUUUUAUUAUGACAGUGAAUGCUUGUAUAAUUUUGCCAUCCUUGUCUCUAAUGAUGUCUCCAAUUCCUGCUUUGCCAUAUUGAUGUAUGUAGCUACCAUCCUGGUUUCUCUAGUGAUCCAAUACCUUUGUGAGUAAAUUCUAGAUAAUUAUAAUGUUGAUUUUGCCUAUUAAGCAUCUAUGUUUACUAGACAAGUAAUAUUUGCCCUUCAAAUAUAGUAGGAAGAUGUUCAAUUUGUUGUGAUGUUCUAUAUAUAUUUGCCCUUCUAUUCAGUGAAGUGUUCUUAGUAUGGCUUGCUUAUGUCUGUUAAACUUGUUAAAAUUUUUGUGCAAGUUUCUUGGGCUGCCUGUUUCACGUGGUUGACAAUGUUCAUAUUUUAGCUUAGCAUGAUUAAUAAUUUUGGUGAUUUCGUUGUGCUAUGUAGGAUUUUAAUGGAUAGUGAAGAUAAAAGUUGGAUGAAUUGUUUAAUAUGGUCUGAUGAGUUCGAGCAUGGAGUGAAAUAUUUUCUUGAAAAGGCAUUUGAGCGAGCUUCUCAAGGAAAUGAGAUAUUAUGUCCUUGUAGAGUCUAGAAGAAUCAAUAUUGGCGUUAUAGAGAUGUGGUGGAGGAUCACUUGCUUUCUAGAGGGUUUUCUUGCUAAUUACACCAAAUGGACUUUCCGUGGACAAAACGCUUCCCCGAGAAAGACACAUCAUCCAAUCAAGGAUGAUGAAGGUUCUAAUAUGCGUGAUGAUAUUGAUGGACUACUUCAUGAUACGUUUAGAAAUGUAGAUGCUGAAUCGAGGCAUGGACAAGGAGUUGGAGAGGGAUUACCUGAAGAUGCAACUAGAUUUUUUAAAUUAUUGGAGGAAGGAAAACAACAAUUAUAUUCGAGGUGUGAGAAUUUUAAUAAGCUGAGUUUCACCAUUCGGUUGUUCUUAUUUAAAUUAUUGCAUGGGUUGAGUAAUGCAACAUUUUUCAGAUCUCUUAGUGUUGAUAAAAGAGGCUUUUUCCUUUGCUCAGAUACUAGAGUCUUUCAAUAAGGCCAGAAAUGUGAUAAGAGAUUUGGGUCUUGAUUAUGAAAAAAUACAUGCAUGUGCUAAUGAUUGCAUGUUAUUCUAGAAGGACAAUGAGAAAGCUGAGAUUUGCUUUGUAUGUGGGACUUCUAGAUAGAAGAGUGUUGGCGGUGCCUCAACCAAUGCAAGUUCUAAAAUUCCUGCAAAGGUUUUAAGAUACUUUCCCUUAAAGCCUAGGCUUUAGAGGAUGUUCAUGUGUCCUGAAAUAGCUGUUGCAAUGAAAUGACAUGCUAAUGAACGACUGAAUGAUGGAAAUCUAAGGCAUCCCGCUGAUAACCAAGCAUGGAAGGAUUUUGAUCCUUUGUAUCUAGACUUCUCUAGAGAUCCUUGCAAUGUUAGGUUAGGUCUCUCAAGUGAUGAUUUCAAUCCAUUUCAAACCAUGAGUAUUUCUCUUACCACGUGGCCUGGUAUGCUGAUGAACUAUAAUUUAUCACCUUGGAUUUGCAUGAAGCCGGAGUAUCUUAUGUUGUCAUUGAUCAUUCCAGGCCCAUCUUCUCCUGGAAAUGAUAUAGAUGUGUAUUUGCAACCACUACUGAUGAAUUAAACAAACUAUGGGAAUCUGGAACAGAUACAUAUGAUGCUGAAACCAAACAAACAUUCAAAAUGCGUGCAACCUUAAUGUGGACAGUUAGUGAUUUUCCAGCAUUAGUAAUGCUUUCAGGAUGGAGCACUAAGAGAAAAUUGGCUUGCCUUCCUUGCAAUCAUAACACAUGCUCUCAAUAUCUCAAACAUAGUCGAAAAAUGUGUUAUUUAGGUCAUCGAAGAUUCUUGCCUCUUGAUCAUCCACGGCGAAAAGAUAGGAAGUCAUUGGAUGAUAAGGAGGAAUAUAGACCCGCACUUAUUCCUUUGUCGGGUAUAGAAGUGUUUGAAGAGUUACAAGAUUCAACAAUGUUUUUGGAAAGGGCAAAAAGAAAAGGUCUCGAGCUAAUAAGGGCCCUUGGAAGAAAAGAUCUAUUUUUUUUGAAUUGUCAUAUUGGCUAGAUAACAAAUUGAGGCGCAAUCUUGAUCCAAUGCACAUAGAAAAGAAUAUAUUUGAUAGUUUGCUUGGGACUUUAUUGGAGAUAGAUAGAAAGUCAAAGGAUCAUGUAAAUUCCCGAUAUGACUUACAAGAAAUGGAAAUAUGGGAGGAGCAACCGGUAGAAGAUAGUAACGAAAAUGUAAGUUUGGCUCAAUCUUCAUUCUCCAUGGAAUCGGAACAGAAAAAAUUGUUUUGCAGCAUCUUGAAAAAUGUCAAAUUACCUAAAGGGUGUGCUUCAAAUAUAUCAAAUCGCGUACGUAUAAAGGAGAUGAAGAUAUCAAGGUACAAGAGUCAUGAUGCUCAUUUUAUAAUGCAUCACUUGCUACAGGUUGCUGUUAGAAAAGUGCUACCUAAGAAUGUUGCAUUGACAUUGAUUAGGUUGUGCAAUUUUUUUAGAGCCAUAUGUAGUAAGGUAAUUAGGCCGAGAGAUCUUGAAAAACUGGAGUCUGAAAUUGGUGAAAUUACAUCUAACCUUGAAAUGAUUUUUCAUCUAGCAUUUUUUGAUAUAAUGCUACAUUUGCCUGUUCAUUUAGUAAAUGAAAUUAAGCUUGCGGGUCCUAUUCAUCUUCGUUGGAUGUAUUCCAUUGAGAGGGCCCUAUGUAACCUUAAGGGGCUCGUUCGUAAUCGAUCAUGUCCAAAAGCAUAAAUAGCAGAAGGUUAUUUGGUUGAAGAAUGCUUGACUUUUUGUUCAAGAUACCUAUAUGAUGGUGUGAAGACGCGAUUUAGUAGGUCCCAAAUUGAAGAUGAGGAAUCCAUUUUGAAUUUGUCCCUUAUAUCCCCCAAGAAUGGUUAUCCAAUUGGAAGUGAGAAGAAAAAAAUUGCACUUUUUUUAUGGAUGCAAAGUUACAUUAUGAAGCACAUCGAUAUGUCCUUUUUAACUCGAGAGAUGAAGAAGUGGAAAAGUUCAUCGAGUAAGAUAUUUACAUAUUAAACUUCAUUUAUUUGUAUAUGAUAAGAUACAUAAACAUCUAUUUAUAAAGUCCUAGUAAUUAUAUUUUCAAUAUUAUUGAUUUCAAGGAACAUAAAAAUUCAUUGAGUAAUCAUACUAGAUCAAUGCAUGGAUAAGAGCAAGGUAUCAUUGUCGUGAAUUCAGUAAGUUUGAAGAGAAAGUUAAAAUGUUGAAGUAUCCAAUAAUUUAAAAUGGCUAUCUAGGGGGCCUAAUAUGGUGGCCAAGAGAUAUAGCGCAUAUUUCAUCAAUGGAUAUCAAUUUCAUACAAAAGAUCGAAAUGCCCCACGCAAAACUCAGAAUAGUGGAGUGACUUUAUCAGCAACAACUUAUAGUUUUACUAGUGCUAGGGACUAAAAUCCCAUAGAUGGAGAGGUGGUUUAUUAUGGAGUCAUUCCAGAUAUUAUUGAGAUUGAUUACUAUGGUUGUUUUAGUGUUGUAUAGAUUAGAUGUGAUUGGCAUCAGAAUGAAGUAGAUGAGUCUGGGUUAACUCGGGUAUACUUCAAUAAGUUAUGCAGUCAAGAUGAUCCUUAUGUUGGCAUCACAAGUUUAUCAAGUUUUUUAUGUUGUAGAUCCAAUUAAGAAAGAUGUCUAUUAUGCAAGGAAUAAAGUCCCUGUUUAUUUGUAUGAUCUAGAGGAAGAGAAUUGCCCUAAUAUAGGAGAAACAUUUUGGAGGGAGCCUAAUGAUGACAUUGGUCCCUCAACUAGAUUAGAUGAGGGUGACUUUAGAUGGGCAAGAGAAGAUGGAGCCGUUGUUGUUGUUGAUAUUCCAUCUACUGAAGAACAUUCAAAAGAUAUAGCUGUGGAAACAUCGGAAGACGAGGAUAAGUUUGACGAUACUGAUUGGGAUUGGAUGGAGGCAGAUGAUUAGAUAAGAAAGUUCUUUUAAAUAUAUGCUCAUCAUUAGUUUCAUUUUUUUGUGAAUGUAAAAUUUUCUUUUUGUACAUAUUUUAUAUCCAUGCUUGUUUAGAAUACAGCUCAGUAUUUGCCUUUUCAUUUCUUUCACAGGAUUCAGUUGACUAUGCAACACUAGGAGCUUCUUCUAACAGUACAUAUGUUAAAUAUACAUGUCUAUAGAAGAUAUAUACAUGUGUAUAUGCACCAUUCAAGGUAUAUAUACUGCUACUAAUAAAAUAUACUAAAACAUAUAUACAUUACAAUAUAUAUAGAUAUAGUUAUAUACUAAUUUAUAAAACAUAUACACAUAUAUACGUUAAAUAUACACGUCUAUAGAAGAUAUAUACACAUGUAUACGCACCAUUCAAUGUAUACGUACUACUUUAAAUAAAAUAUACCACAAUAUAUAUACGUUACAAUAUAUAUAGAUAUAGUUACAUAUUAAUUUAUAAAACAUAUACACAUAUAUACGUUAAAUAUACACGUCUAUAGAAGAUAUAUACACAUGUAUACGCACCAUUGAAUGUAUAUAUACUACUUUAAAUACUAUAUUUUGAUUGCAUUAUUAUGCAUGAUUAUUUCAUGUCUAGCCAUGUUGAUUAGAAACCCCAAGUAUGAUAGUAUUUAAAUCCUAGUAAGUGUUAUAGCGAGGUCUAAAAUAAGAAUAUGAUGACACAGGUUAUGCUUUGAGAUGACCUCAUGUAUAUAUAUAUAUAGUUAUAUAUACAUAGUUAUAUAGUUAUAUACUAAUUUAUAAAAUAUAUACACAUGUAUACACAACAUUCAAUGUAUACGUACUACUUUAAAUGAAAUAUACCAUAAUAUAUAUACUAAUUUAUAAAACAUAUACACAUGUAUACGUUAAAUAUACACGUCUAUAAAAGAUAUAUACCCAUGUAUACGCAUCAUUCAAUGUAUACAUACUACUUUAGGUAAAAUAUACCACAAUAUAUAUAUUUAGUUAUAUACUAAUUUAUAAAACAUAUACACAUGUAUACGUUAAAUAUACACGUCUAUAGAAGAUAUAUACACAUGUAUACGCACCAUUUAAUGUAUACAUACUACUACUAAUAAAACAUACUAUAAUAUAUAUACAUUACAAUAUAUAUAGAUAUAGUUAUAUACUAAUUUAUAAAACAUACACAUGUAUACGUUAAAUAUACACGUCUAUAGAAGAUAUAUAAAUAUGUAUACGCACCAUUCAAUGUAUACGUACUACUUUAAAUAAAAUAUACCACAAUAUAUAUACGUUACAAUAUAUAUAGAUAUAGUUACAUAUUAAUUUAUAAAACAUAUACACAUAUAUACGUUAAAUAUACACGUCUAUAGAAGAUAUAUACACAUGUAUACGCACCAUUCAAUGUAUACGUACUACUUUAAAUAAAAUAUACCACAAUAUAUAUACNNNNNNNNNNNNNAAACUAGAAAUUCAAUUUAAAAUUUUAAAUCAUUAAAUGAAAAAAUAUAAAAAGUAAGGACUAAGGAGUGAAUGAAUUUGGGGAAUUUUAUUGAUUGCAAAAUGAUCCAAAAUUUAUAAUUUACAUGAAUGAAAAAUCUACAAAUUAUGCAUUAUUUUUUCCAACUCAUUCAUGUUAAUAUUAACGGAAACUUGCAUAGGAUAGUAAGUCAACGGGGCAAAAACCAUGCGUUGGACUUGAUUCUGCUGAGUUCUCCCGUGAAGACAUAAUUUCUUCAAGUUUCAGCUCGUCGCUCGGCUCCGGUUCCAUUCCUUGGUUUCUUCUUUCCGCUCUAAUCCAAUCUCUGAGGCAAACUAGAACAUUUAUUGCAUUGCUUCCCAAUGAGUGUCGGUUGUCUCAAAGCUGCUGUCGUUCUGGACUAAAGGCGCUCUCUGAUGCAACGUUGACAUUGGAACAUUUAAGAUAUCUCUAGCUAAUCUUGAAAGUACAUGAUAUUGUGUUUCAUUACUCCUUCACCAAUCCAACGUGUUGAUCCGUUGUCUACGAUCCUCUGGCGACGAUCGAAGAUAAUAUUUCAGCUCUUCUCGAUAAGUUGGUGUGUAAGCUCUCUCAUCAACACUGUUCCAACGAGCCUCGGGAGGAUGAGGAGUGACAGUUGGAGUGAUAUUUGUAGGUAUGGCUAAAUCAAAUAAAUCAGCAUAGUGGUUAUAUAAUUUUUCUAUGUAUUCAUUUGCAUCACUCAUAGCCGUCCACAAAUCAGGUUGUACUUGUUCAGAAUCAUUGUUAAUAUUUAUUUCUAAGUUAGUAUAAAUAAUAGUACUAAAGUGGCACAUAUUAUUAUAUUUCAUGCAUGGAUUUAACAUAGCACCAACCAAGUAAAUAGGGGGAAUCGGAAAAAAAUAUUUUUUAAAUUUCGUAAACAUGACACCAACAACUUCUUUAUAAUCUUUAUUUUUAUAUUCUUUGAGCAAACCAGAAAUAUCGGCUAUAUAUGCCAAAAUAUUACAAACAAUAGGAUUAUAAGCACCGGAAAAUUCAACUGUAGCUACAUAAAAUUUUUCUAAAAACUUAACAAGAUCAUUAAUUACAACCUAAUCAGAAUUAUGUAGCAUGCAAUCAGAAGAAUCAGCAAAUGAACCGCAAUGCUGGUUAAAAGCUAGUGUAAUAGGAAUUCUAUAUUUAUAACAAGUUUUAAAAAGAUCAUACAUAGAAUUCCAUCUAAUAUCAAUUUCCUCUUUUUUGACAUUCAACUUUAAAUUCUCUAAUUUUCGAUCUACGAUUAUUUCCUUGAAUAAAACAAACAUCAAGACGAAUUUUUUCAAUAUAAAGCUCAAAAAACUCAAGACCAUCUUUUACAAUUAAAUUAUAUAUAUAUGACAUGCACACUUAAUAUAAAAAAUUUCUGGCAAUGGUGGAGAUAGCGUAGAUUUUUUUUUAUAGCAAUCAUGUUAGAAACAUUAUCAAAAGCAAUACAUAAAAUUUAUUUUCGAUACCAUAAUAUCCGGCAACUUUAACAAUAGAAUCAGCAAUAAAAUGUCCAGUAUGUUUACGAUUUUCAUCAUAUAAAAAAGCAAGAAUACGUUUUUGCAUCNNNNNNNNNNNNNNNNNNNNNNNNNNNNNNNNNNNNNNNNNNNNNNNNNNNNNNNNNNNNNNNNNNNNNNNNNNNNNNNNNNNNNNNNNNNNNNNNNNNNNNNNNNNNNNNNNNNNNNNNNNNNNNNNNNNNNNNNNNNNNNNNNNNNNNNNNNNNNNNNNNNNNNNNNNNNNNNNNNNNNNNNNNNNNNNNNNNNNNNNNNNNNNNNNNNNNNNNNNNNNNNNNNNNNNNNNNNNNNNNNNNNNNNNNNNNNNNNNNNNNNNNNNNNNNNNNNNNNNNNNNNNNNNNNNNNNNNNNNNNNNNNNNNNNNNNNNNNNNNNNNNNNNNNNNNNNNNNNNNNNNNNNNNNNNNNNNNNNNNNNNNNNNNNNNNNNNNNNNNNNNNNNNNNNNNNNNNNNNNNNNNNNNNNNNNNNNNNNNNNNNNNNNNNNNNNNNNNNNNNNNNNNNNNNNNNNNNNNNNNNNNNNNNNNNNNNNNNNNNNNNNNNNNNNNNNNNNNNNNNNNNNNNNNNNNNNNNNNNNNNNNNNNNNNNNNNNNNNNNNNNNNNNNNNNNNNNNNNNNNNNNNNNNNNNNNNNNNNNNNNNNNNNNNNNNNNNNNNNNNNNNNNNNNNNNNNNNNNNNNNNNNNNNNNNNNNNNNNNNNNNNNNNNNNNNNNNNNNNNNNNNNNNNNNNNNNNNNNNNNNNNNNNNNNNNNNNNNNNNNNNNNNNNNNNNNNNNNNNNNNNNNNNNNNNNNNNNNNNNNNNNNNNNNNNNNNNNNNNNNNNNNNNNNNNNNNNNNNNNNNNNNNNNNNNNNNNNNNNNNNNNNNNNNNNNNNNNNNNNNNNNNNNNNNNNNNNNNNNNNNNNNNNNNNNNNNNNNNNNNNNNNNNNNNNNNNNNNNNNNNNNNNNNNNNNNNNNNNNNNNNNNNNNNNNNNNNNNNNNNNNNNNNNNNNNNNNNNNNNNNNNNNNNNNNNNNNNNNNNNNNNNNNNNNNNNNNNNNNNNNNNNNNNNNNNNNNNNNNNNNNNNNNAAAAUUAAAAAAUUAAAGUGAACACUUUAAGAAAUUAAAUAUAUUGAAUAUUUGAGAAUUGAGAUUUGAGAGAGUGAAAAAUUGUGUGAAAAAUGAUUUGAAGGUGUAGGGUAUUUAUAGAAUUUUUUUGGGGAUUAAAAAAUAAUUUUUAAUGUAUUUUUUUUUUUUAAGAAAUGGGCCCAAACUAGCCAUUUGGACCCAAAAACGACUAUAUAGGCCUAAAAUCCUAAAUUUUUUUUUAAAAAAAAUAAAAUAAAGCAUUCCAUCUGGGCCGGUUAACUGACGACCUUGGAUCGGGCUUGAUCUGGGCUGGUGGUUUAAUCGGGCUCAAAUUAAAAAAAUAACCGGCCCGAGACCCGGAACCCUAAAGCCCUAGGGCUUACCGGGCCGGGUCCUUUAAGUAGGCCAGAUAGGGCCCUGGCCCACUUGACAAGCUUAGUGUAAAUAAAACUGUCCUUGACCUGGCCCACUUGACAGGCUUAGUGUGAAUAAAACUGUGUCCUUCUCUAUUCUCUAAUUUCUAACUUAUUUUUCCUGUAUUGCAUGAUUAGCCUUUUCAGCUAGUUAUUGGGAUCUUUUGUACAAUAAAUCCAAUUGAAUUUCGUCCAUAUUUUCAUCUUGUUUGGAUUGGAUUUCCAUGAUUUUCGUUGAGCCAUGGUGGAUUCAUUUCAUAAAGAAGGUUGAUUAGCAAAAAAUGAAAUAUGCAAUCACCAUGUAUGUCUUUGCUAGAAAUCGGCUAUUUUGCUUGGAUUGCUCUUAUUUUAUCUCACACAAAAUUCUUUGGAUAUACUAAUUAAUUUUCAGAUAUUUUUUUUCACUUCUGAAUUUUUGCGAUAAUACACUUCUGAAUAUCUGAGGAAACCAUACCUAACUAGCUUAGUCUAGCAAUAAAGGUUUUAAGUUUUUAUUGUUAUUUUAAUCUGCUUGACAUUACAUUUUUGCUCUUGAUCUUACAGAGAGACUUAAAGAAUCAUGAUCAACAAGUGUGUUCGAGAAAUCAUUAGAAAGCUAAAAACUUUCUUUCAGCUGGAUCACUAGCAGCUCUACGAACCAAACAAAUACCAUAACAUAAGAAGAAGAAGAAUACAUGCUACAUAAAUGCAAAGGAAAAGAAUUAAAAAAAGAAGGAGAAGUCAAACAAUGUUCAACCUAUAUCGCAAGUACCAGAACAAGUGCAACAGGUGCUAGCUAUAUCUCAAGUACCAGAACAAGUGCAACAGGUGCUAGCUAUAUCUCAAGUACCAGAACAAGUGCAACAGGUGUCUCUGGAUUCCACCUCUGUUGCAGCACUAGUAGAGGAGCAAGUGCGACAAGAAUUGCCAGACUCCACCAUUCGUGCAUCACAACCAACAGUUAACGAGUGCAGCAAGAUCACUCACAACUUCCUAAUUUACAAGCAUACGAACAAUCUGGAGACAACAAGAAUAUAUAUAUUUUAGUUCAUACUAUUUCAAAAAUUGUCUGCAUUUCAGUAAUUUUGUUGUUGAUAUUAUUAUAGGUCCUUCAACUAAUAAAAGAAAAAAAGGUGCUACACAAAUGCAAUCAGUACAUGGACGGACUCACCAUCAACUGAUAGUGCUAAAUGAGUUAAACCAGCCUAUUGGUCCAACUAAAGUAGCGGUCACUGAAUUUUCCAUCUUUCUUGGCAUAUUGGCAAGGAAUGGGACAUUUUGUCCUCUUAAUCUCAGUUGGACAAAGUUGAAGACACACGAUGAUAUGUGGAGCUAUAUUCAGGUUCUAAGUUCUCAAUAUUUUGAUUUCUACUUGAAAGCUUUUCACAGUUUUUACACUAACUCAAUUCAACCAAAUUAUAGGAGAAAUAUGACAUUCCCAACAACGGGAAAGAUUGGGCUAUGAAAUCAAUUGAUGCUGCUUUUAGAGCGUAUAAUUCCAGACUCAAGAAAGAUCGCUUUUAUGCCUACACCAAUGAUGAAAUUCGAAGUGCAAAAAGACCUAGCACUGUUUCAGAACCUGCAUUUGAGGAUCUCCUUUAAGUAUUGGAAUUUCGAAGAAGCUGAGGUAUGAUAUCAAUAUGGACAACUGUUAUAUUAUUGUUAAUAUGCAUUUAUUGUUGAAUCAACAAUCUAGAGAAGACAAGAAUAUAUAUAUUUUAGUUGAUACUAUUCCAAAGAUUGUCUGCAUUUCAGUAAUUUUGUUGAUGAUAUUAUUGUAGGCCCUUCAAUUAAUAAAAGAAAAAGAGGCGCUACACAAAUGCAAGCAGUACAUAGAUGGACUGACCGUCAACUGAUAGUGCUAAAUGAGUUGAAUCAACGUAUUGGUCCAACUAAAGCAACGAUCACUGAAUUUUCUAGCUUUCUUGGCACAUUGGCAAGGAAUGAGACAUUUUGUCCUCUUAAUCUUAGUUGGACAAAGUUGAAGACACACAUGAUACGUGGUGCUAUAUUCAGGUUCUAAGUUCUCAAUAUUUUGAUUUCUACAUGAAAGCUUUUCACAAUUUUCGCACUAACCCAAUUCAUCAAAUUAUAGGAGAAAUAAGGCAUUUCCGACAACGGGAAAGAUUGGGUUAUGAAAUCAAUUGAUGCUGCGUUUAGUGGGUAUAAGUCCAGACUUAAGAAAGAUCACUUUUAUGCCUACAUCAAUGAUGAACUUCGAAGGGCAAAAAGUCCUAGCAAUGUUUUAGAACCUGUAUUUGAGGAUCUCCUUUAAGUAUUGGAAUUUCGAAGAAGCUGAGGUAUGAUAUCAAUAUGGACAACUGUUAUAUUAUUGUUAACAUGCAUUUAUUAUUGAUAUAAUAUCGAAAGAAAGAACAACAUAAAAAGGAAGAUUAGACGUGAUGAAUUCAAUAAUAAAUGCAUGCUAACAAUAAUAUAACAGUUGUCCAUAUUGAUAUCAUACCUCAGCUUCUUUGGAAUUCCAAUGCUUAAGGAGAUCCUCAAGUACAGGUUUUGAAAUAGUGCUAGGCCUUUUUGCCCUUCGAAUUUCAUCAUUGGUGUAGGCAUAAAAGUGAUCUUUCUUGAGUUUGGACUUAUACCCUCUAAACACAACCGCAAUUGAUUUCAUAGCCUAAUCUUUUCGAUUGUUAGGAAUGCGAUAUUUCUCCUAUAAUUUGGUUGAAUUGGGUUAGUGUAAAAACUAUGACAUAACUUUCAAGUAGAAAUCAAAAUAUUGAGAACUUAGAACCUGAAUAUAGCUCCACAUAUCAUCGUGUGUCUUCAACUUUGUCCAACUGAGAUUUAAGAGGACAAAAUGUCCUAUUCCUUGCCAAUGUACCAAGAAAGAUGGAAAAUUCAGUGACCACUGCUUUAGUUGGACCAAUAGGCUGGUUAAACUCAUUUAGCACUAUCAGUUGAUGGUCAGUCCGUCCAUGUACUGCUUGCAUUUGUGUAGCGCCUCUUUUUCUUUUAUUAGUUGAAGGGCCUACAAUAAUAUUAACAACAAAAUUAUUGAAAUGUAGACAAUUUUUUGAAAUAGUCUGAACUAAAAUAUAUAUAUUCUUGCCUUCUCCAGAUUGUUCAUUUGAUUGUAAAUUAGGAAGUUGUGACUGAUCUUGCAGCACUCAUUCAACUGUGGGUUGUGAUGCACGAAUAGGGAAGUCUGGCAAUUCUUGUCACAUUUUCUCAUCUAUUACACUUGUUCUGGUACUUGAGAUAUAGCUGGCACCUGUUGCACUUGUUCUGUUACUUGAGAUAUAGAUGGAACGUUGUUUGACUUCUCCUUCUGUGUUUGAUUCUUUUCCUUUGCAUUUAUGCAGCAUGUAUUCUUCUUCUUCUUCUUCUUGUGUUCUAGUAUUUGUUUGUUUCGUAGAGCUGCUAGUGAUCCAGCUGAAAGAAAGUUUUUAGCUUUCUGAUGAUUUCUCGAACACCCUUGUUGAUUCAUGAUUCUUUAAGUCUCUGUAAGAUCAAGAGCAAAAAUGUAAUGCCAAGCCGAUUAAAAUAACAAAGGAAAAACUUAAAACCUUUCAUUGCUAGACUAGCUAGUUAGGCAUGGGUUCCUUAGAUAUUUAGAAGUGUAUUAUCGCAAGAAUUCAGAAGUGUAAAAAAUAUCUGAAAAUUAAUUAGUAUAUCCAAAGAAUUCUGUGUGAGAUAAAUAAGAGUAAUCCAAGCAAAAUAGUUGAUUUCCAGCAAAGACAUAUAUGGUGAUUGAAUGUUUCAUUUUUUGCUAACUAACUUUCUUUAAGAAAUGAAUCCACCAUGGCUCAAUGGAAAUCAUGGAAAUCCAAUCCAAACAAGAUGAAAAUAUGGAUGAAAUUCAAUUGGAUUUAUUGUACAAAAGAUCCCAAUAACUAACUAAAAAGGCUAAUCAUGCAAUAAAGGAAAAAUAAGUUAGAAAUUAGAGAAUAAAGGACAGAGUUUUAUUUACACAUGAACCAACAUCCAUACAACAAACAUCCAAAUCAAGAAACUAGUGAAACAUGCAAACUCAGACACUGAUAAAUAAGACAACAUAACCAAACCUUGAAGCAUUCUAGACACCAGGAAGAUAGUAAUUCUAGGAAAUCAAGAAAAAGGUCAAUUAUGUUACCAAUGACAGUGAAAAUCAAUUUCUCUAAAAUCUAAUAGUGGUCAAAUGCAGAAGAGGUCACAUCAAAAUGUCAGAUAAAAGGCUCCACUUCUAAUUAAGGAUUAUUAACUGCUAAAGUUAUUGAUGGUUGUAUUUAUUAUUUACAUCAUAAAUGGUUCGUGCGGUAAUAGUCAAACCCAUGUUCAUCGCUAAAUCUAUCAUAUGUACACAUGAUCAUGCAUAUUUGAGUAAAACUUACCCAGAGAGAUGGUUCAGUAGAUUGCUAGUCCACCACAGGAUACCCAAAAGCUGACAACUUUUCUGGAAGAGUUGAACCAUCUUUUAGAACUGCACAAUGUCAAAAUUAGAGAUACAUAUUCCUGAGCACAAGAAAGGAGUAACAUCAUGCAGCCUUUUAUAGCGUAAGCUUCUAAGAAAGAAGAAUUGCCUUAACAGAAGAUGUGAUAAAGUCCUUGCUAUCAGUCUCUAUCAUCUAAUGAUUUUUAAAUACUUGAGCCUUCAAAUAUUUUACAGAACCAGGAAGUCAAUGGAAAGUUGAAUCAAACUUACAAGUCAAAAGCCCCCAAAUGCAGUUCACUAUUAUAGAACAUCCCAUAGAUGUCAGCACAAAGUUUACACCAAAUGUUACUGUCAUGGUUAAUGGUAUGAAGAUUUAUGCCAGAGACACUGGAUCUCUACAUAUGUUUAUUUUUUUUGGCUUGCGACAAUUAUUCUAAUGCAAAAAAUAUUUACAGAUACUCAUCCCAUGAACCCAUGAUUCCCAAAGACCAUGGUCAGGUAUUAGGUACUCCACACUAAAAAUACAGAUAACCUAACUCUAAUUGGUGGCCAAAUUUUAAUCCUGUCUACAUGUGGAUUGAAAACAAACUUAUCACACCCCUAACAUAUCUGAAAUAGAUAUCUUAAAAGAACGGCUAUCAGCUUAGAAGAAGCUCCUAGUGUUGCAUAGUCAACUUAAUCCUGUGAAAGAAAUGAAAGAGCAAAUACUGAGAUGUAAUGUUCUCUCUAUAUUGAGAAUUAAAGUGAUCAACUUUCCAAGCAAGUAUGGAUAUAAAAUAUAUACAAAAAUAAAAUUUUUGCACUCACAAGAAAAUGAAACUAAUGAUAAGCAUAUAUUUAAAAGAACUUUUUUGUCAAAUCAUCUGCCUCCAUCCAAUCCUAAUCAGUAUCGUCAAACUCAUCCUCGUCUUUCGAUGUUUCCACAACUCUAUCUUCUAAAUGUUCUUCAGUAGAUAGAAUAUCAACAACAACAACGACUCCAUCUUCUCUUGCCCAUCUAAAGUCACCCUCCUCUAAUCUAGUUGAGGGACCAAUGUCAUCAUUAAACUCCCUCUAAAAUGUUUCUCCUAUAUUAGGGCAAUUCUCUUCCUCUAGAUCAUACAAAUAAAUAGGGACUUUAUUCCUUGCAUAAUAAACAUCCUUCUCAAUUGAAUCUGCAACAUAAAAUUUUUGAUAAACUUGUGAUGCCAACACAAAAGUAUCAUCUUGACUGCAUAACUUGUUAAAGUAUACUCGAGUUAACCCAUACUCAUCUACUUCAUUCUAAUGCCAAUCACAUCUAAAUAAUACAAUACUAAAACAACCAUUUUAACCAAUCUCAAUGAUAUCUCGAAUGACUCAAUAAUUACCACCUCUCUAUUUAUGGGAUUUUGGUGCCUAGCACUAGCAAAACUAUCAGUUGUUGCUGAUAAAGUCACUCCACUAUUCUAAGUCUUGUGUGGGGCAUCCCGAUCUUUUGUAUGAAAUUGAUAUCCAUUGAUGAAAUAUGCGCUAUAUCUCCUGGCAACCAUAUUAGGCCCCCUAGAUAGCCAUUUUAAUGAUUGGAAACUUCAACAUUUUUAACUUUCUCUUCAAACAAACUGCUGAAUUCACGACUAUGAUUUUUGUUGUAUGGGUGUUGGUUCAUGUAUAAAUAAAACUGUGUCCUUUAUUCUCUAAUUUCUAACUUAUUUUUCCUUUAUUGCAUUAUUAGCCUUUUCAGGUAGUUAUUGGGAUCUUUUGUACAAUAAAUCCAAUUGAAUUUUGUCCAUAUUUUCAUUUGUUUGGAUUGGAUUCCUCAUCUUCAGUUUGGUACUACUAAAUCGCGUCUUCACACCAUCAUGUAGGUAUCUUGAACAAAAAGUCAAGCACUCUUCAAUCAAAUAACCUUCUGCUAUUAAUGCUUCUGGACAUGAUCGAUUACGAACGAGCCCCUUAAGGUUACACAGGGCCCUCUCAAUGGAAUAUAUCCAAUGAAGAUGAACAGGACCCCCAAGCUUAAUUUCAUUUACUAAAUGAACGAGUAAAUGUAGCAUUAUAUAAAAAAAUAUUGGAUGAAAAAUCAUUUCAAGGUUAGAUGUAAUUUCACCAAUUUCAGACUCCAGUUUUCAAGAUCUUUCGGCCUAAUUACCUUACUACAUAUGGCUCUAAAAAAAUUGCACAACCUAAUCAAUGUCAAUGCAACAUUCUUAGGUAGCACUUUUCUAACAAUAACCUGUAGCAAAUGAUGCAUUAUAAAAUGAACAUCAUGACUCUUGUACCCUGAUAUAUUCAUCUCCUUUAUAUGCACGCGAUCUGAUAUAUUUGAAGCACACCUUUUAGGUAAUUUGAAAAUUUUCAAGAUGCUGCAAAAUAAUUUUUUCCUUUGCGGGUUCAUGGAGAAUGAAGAUUGAGCCAAACUUAUAUUUCUGUUACUAUCUUCUACUGGUUGUAGCUCCUCCCAUAUUCCCAUUUCUUGUAAGUCAUAUCGAGAAUUUACAUGAUCCUUUGACUUUCUAUCUAUCUCCAAUAAAGUCCUAAACAAACUAUCACAUAUAUUCUAUGUGCAUUGGAUCAAGAUUGUGCCUCAAUUUGUUAUCUAGCCAAUAUGACAAUUCAAAAAAAAAUAGGUCUUUUCUUUCAAGGACCCUUAUUAUCUCGAAACCUUUUCUUUUUACCCUUUCCAAAAACAUUGUUGAAUCUCGUAACUCUUCAAGCACUUCUAUACCCGACAAAGGAAUAAGUGCGGGUCUAUCUUCCUCGUUACUAUCCAAUGUCUUCCUAUCUUUUCGCAGCGGAUGAUCAAGAUCUAAAAAUCUCCGAUGACCCAAAUAACACAUCUUUCGACUAUGUUUGAGAUAUUGAAAGAAUGUGUUAUGAUUGCAAGUAGGGGCAUGCCAAUUUUCCCUUAGUGAUCCAUCCUGAAAGCAUUGUUAAUGCUGAAAAAUCACUAACUGUCCACAUUAAGGUUGCACGCAUUUUGAAUGUUUGUUUGGUUUCAACAUCAUAUGUAUCUAUUCCAUUAGCAUGCCAUUUCAUUGCAACAGCUGUUUCAGGACACAUGAACAUCCUCUGAAAGCCUAGGCUUUAAGGGAAAGUAUCUUAAAACCUUUGCAGGAAUUUUAGAACUUGCAUUGGUUGAGGCACCACCAAUACUCUUCCAUCUAGAAGUCCCACAUGCAGAGCAAAUAUCAUCUUUCUUAUUGUCCUUCCAGAAUAACAUGCAAUCAUUAGCGCAUGCAUUUAUGUUUUCAUAAUCAAGACCCAAAUCUCUUAUCAUAUUUCUGGCCUUAUUGAAAGACUCUAGUAUCUGAGCAAAGGGAAAGGCCUCUUUUAUCAACAUUAAGAGAUCUGAAAAUGUUGCAUUACUCAACCCAUGCAAUGAUUUAAACAAGAACAACCGAAUGGUGAAACUCAGCUUACUAAAAUUCUCACCUCUAUUGUAAUUGUUGUUUUCCUUCCUCCAAUAAUUUAAAAAAUUUAGUUGCAUCUUCAGGUAAUCCCUCUUCAACUCCUUGUCCAUACUGUGAUUCAGCAUCUACAUUUCUAAACGUAUCGUGAAGUAGUCCAUCAAUAUCAUCACACAUAUUAGAACCUUCAUCAUCAUUGAUUGGAUGAUGUGUCUUUCUCAAGGAAGCGUUUUCUCCAUGGAAAGUCCAUUUGGUGUAAUUAGCAAGAAACCCUCUAGAAAGCUAGUGAUCCUCCACCACAUCUCUAUAACGCCAAUAUUGAUUCUUCCAGACUCUACAAGGACAUAAUAUCUCAUUUCCUUGAGAAGCUCGUUCAAAUGCCUUUUCAAGAAAAUAUUUUACUCCACGCUCGAACUCAUCAGACCAUAUUAAACAGUUUGUCCAACUUUUUUCUUCACUAUCCAUUAAAAUCCUACAUAACACAACGAAAUCACCAAAAUUAUUAUUCAUGCUAAGCUAAAAUAUGAACAUUUUCAACCACGUGAAACAGGAAGCCCAUGAAACUUGCACAAAAAUUUUAACAAGUUUAACAGACAUAAGCAAUUCAUACUAAGAACACUUCACAGAAUAGAAGGGCAAAUAUAUAUAGAACAUUACAACAAUUGGAACAUCAUCCUACUAUAUUUGAAGGGAAAAUAUUACUUGUCCAGUAAACAUAGAUACUUAAUAGGCAAAAUCAACAUUAUAAUUAUCUGGAAUUUACUCAUAAAGGUAUCGGAUCACUAGAGAAACCAGGAUGGUAACUACAUACAUCAACCUGGCAAAACAGGAAUUAGAGACAUCAUUAAAGACAAGGAUGGCAAAAUUAUACAAGCAUUCAUUGUCAUAAUAAAAUUUAGUAGCAAUAAUAUGACUGAGACUAUAGCUACCAGUUGUGGAGCAAAAUUGAGAAAAAAUCUUGGCCUCAUAGAUAUGCAGCCUGAUACCAAAAAUAGAUCAUGUAGAAGGAGUAGAAGAUUGCAGACCUGUAGCUUAUUGCAAUACAAUCUACAAGGUCAUUUGAAGGUGUUAUGCAAUAAGCUAAGCUUGGUGCUGCCUAAAAUAAUCUCAGGGAAUCAAAGUGAAUUUGUACUCGGAAGAAGCAUUGCACAAAAUGUCUUAAUUUGCUAGGAUUUCGUGAGAUUGUACAAUAGGAAGCAGGCUUAGAAAAGUUGCUUAAUGAAGAUGGAUCUCAAGAAAGCAUAUGAUACAGUUGAAUGGAAACUUGUUAGAGAAAUGUUACAUGUACUUAACUUCCCACACCAGUUCCUCAAGUGGGUUAUGGAGUGCUUAACAAAUACCCAAUUUACACUUGCAUUACAUAGAGGACUAUAUGGAAAUAUUAAGGGAAAAAGAAGGCUUAGACAAGGAGAUCCUAUAUCACCCCUUAUCUUUGUCAUUUGUAUGAAAUAUUUUACAAAGUCAAUGUUUAUGGCUACAAUUAUGGAGGGGUUUGAGUAUCAUCCAUAAUGUACAAGCCUGCAACUUACACACUUGUGUUUUGCUGAUGUACAAGACCUAAUCAAACAAGUUGAUACCUGAGAGCAAUUUAUUCUACCUACACAUCAAACAAAAUGACAUAUAGACGCAUAUACUCAGUCAAAAGAAACUAGCCCAGACAACAUUGACAAUAGAGUUUUCGUGAUAAGGUAUAAUGAGAUACACCCUCUUGAAAUAAACAUGUCAAGAAAACACUGUCCUUACUGGCUAUGAUACAAAAAGCACAAGGGAAACACUAAACACACACCAAAAUCAGUCCACAAGCUCAAGAAACCGAGGACCUCUUUUGUGACCAACUCUCGGAUUCAACAAUACAAUACAAUAACGAGAUGAACAAGGUGUUUAGAACACCAAAACAGCCAACCCAAACUAAUAUUAGCAACACAAUAUGAUAAACAAGAUGAGCAACCAUUCGGCCAACAAAAACAAACACAAAUUGAGAGUAGAGGACAAGAACAAACACAACAAUAAUACAAGAAAGAAAAAGGAUAGAUAGUGAUACCAAGAUUAUUACAAGAUAAAGAACCAAGUGUAUUUCAACACCAACCCCUAAUGAAUGUAAUAAUCAGAACCACACUCUUACGGUGACCGCCAAGGUAAUUGACUCACCUCAAGAUCCACCGUUUUCAAGCAAAGAUCAAUACUAGCUUUUCUAAGCCCUACACUAAGGUGGCUUUUUCGAGCCCUAACUAAGAACUAUUCUAAGGUAGGCUACUCUCAAGAGAGAGGAUUUCAAUGUGUCAUAUAUUCAUCACUCAUAACUAAUGAAAGAAGACCUAAAAAGUCCUACUUAUAGUAUAUUACAAAAGAAGGAAAAAAAGACUACACUACCCUUAAUGACCAAGGGUGGCCUUGGUGUGUUGGAAAAUAAUAUGAAUUGUCCAAAAUGCCCUUAAGGCUAAGUGACCAAAAUGCCCUUAAUAAAUGAAACCAAAACCGUGAACCAAUAAAGGUGGUCCAAACCCGAGAAUCCCUAAGUCUUUAAGGCUCCAAGCAAUCUUCCACACUCGGGUUUGAUCAAUGGUAGGCUCAAAAUGUCCCCUCCAAGUAUGAUCCCAUGUCCUUCAUGAGACCAAAGCUUGAUUCUUCACAUAGUGAAUUUGAAUGAUGUCGUCAAAAGCUAAGGCGACCAUUAUUCUUGUAUCAUCCUCCCCUUUUUAAAAAGGAUUCGACCUCGAAUCCAAACUUUGCAUAACCGAAGAGAGGGCAAACAAAUACAAACUCCUCAUGGCAUGAGGGUUAGGGUUAGCAUAACAAUUCAUCUUAACAUGCCAAGGUUGCACAUAUUUGCAAUACACCCAAGGAUCCUUUGAAUUAAAUAUUAAAAGCUCAAUAAAAGGUGCACAAAGGAUUUGGUUACGGGAAUCACCAAGAGAUAAAGAAACUACAUAGGUCCUAAUGGCAUCAAAUAAUCCACAAGGUAGAACUUCCUUCAUCUUAUGAGCCAUAAGACACCAUUACUUCUUUAUCUCGUAAAAAAACCACGCCAAGGGGGGUAUUUUGUUUGGUUCUAAAAUCCAUAUAGCAUUAUCACACACACACAUGGACAGACCAACAACUUACCUCAACGUAAAACAAAUCCAAAACUAGCAUGGACGUCAUCACAGGCAAAGAGGUAGUAUAGAAAAGAAUCACGUGCAAAGGCAGUCACGGGUGAAGAAUAAGCAUUUAAACACAUACACAUUCUUUCCUUCAAACAACUAGACAACUUGGAAUCCACAAGUUGGAAUUCAUGCAAUUUAGGCACAAGUGUGUCAAACAAGGAUGCACAUUUAGGAACAUUACCCCAAGGAGUCAAUGACACCUUUACCCUCGAGUUUUCAAGAAGGACUACACAUUUCUUACCCUUAAGAGUACUCUCAUCUUUCAAAAAGAGAUUUCCAUCUUUAGGAGGAAUAUUGUCACACCAUAGUGGGUUAGCAUAUCGGCUAUAGCCUUCAAGACAAGCUAUACCAUCAUUCUCACCACUAGGUUCAUUAGGAGUGUUUAAAUCAUCUUCAAACAAGACAUUAUACCUAAAGAGAACAUGAUCUAUUUCUCGGAAAGAUUCAGAACAAACACAUUCAUCACCCUCUAAAAGAUUAAUAUCAUGUUUGAAAGAGAUUUUAAGCAUAAGAUUGUCCUAAGAACGACUCUCGGGUUCACUCCCAAAUUGGUGACCAAUAUUUUCAAGUACUUCACUUACUUGAGUUUUAUUAAUCACAUCACACACAUACUCAAGUGGUGGAAAAUUUUCACAAAUAAGUUGAUCAACACCAAUUACACAAGACGAUGUACUUCCAUUCAACAUAUAGGCUUCAAUACUAGGUGGACAUAAAUUGAUCUUGUUGUCAAUUUGGUCAUCAAUAGGAUCAACUAGUGUAUCCAUACUCACAACAGGUACAUCAUCAACAAAAUGCAAAGAAUCAUUAGAAUCACAAGUAAUUAAGCUACUACUCACACUCAAUGCGCUACUGGCGACACAAUCAUCAUUUACAUGUACAAAAGUGUAAGAGUUAGCUAUUUUACCUUGAAGUUCUUGAGUAGACUCUCCUUUGCCGUGUUGUGAAGGUCCUCCACAAGCUUGGGGCAGCAAAUCGACACUUCUCUCCUUUGCUUGCCAUGUUGGUACCUACACAAAUGUCCUUAUAAAUAGAAGGACACACAAUAUUAGCUCAGUUCGGUGGCAAUCCUCUUCUUUCACUCCACACAACCUCUCCUUUUUCCGCUCUCGGAUUACCACCUUGCACACCCUUACUCCUCUCAAUUUUUUGUCAUUUAUAAGCAUUCGGAUUGGAGUAAGUAUUCACUUCUUUUUGUGGCUCGGGCAGCAUAUAGGUCACGAGGUGAUUUCCCCACCGAUCUCUUACAAUAUUAGGCCAAUUUUGCACAUUUGGAACUCUAUAUUGUGCAAACCAAUCGACACCUAAGAAUACAUGACCGUAUGUCAAAGGAAGAAUAUCGCAGCACACAUCCUCAUGGUAUUCAAAUUGGGAGAAGACAACUUUGACCCUCUCGGUAACCUUAAACCCGUCCAAGAAGUAGGGAACAAGUAAAGGCUCGCAAAACAACCCCAAGUAGUCAACCAUGGAUGGAAUGAUGUAGUUCCUAUAGUACCUAUCAUUUAACACAAUGAGGCAGCCCGGUAUCCCACAAAUGGCCACCUUUACGGAGUGUACACUCCUUCUCGUAUCAACAUUAUAACACACACAAUUACCUUUCGGUUUUGGAUAUGCAUACCCUCAUCUUCUCGUUGGACAACCUUCACCAGAGCUAGUAUAAUCAUUCACACUAUAUCGACCUUGAUAAGAAGUACUACAAGGUGAAGAAUAUGAAUCUUCACACUGCCCACGUGCACUCUCAUCAUAACCCUCAUAAGCUUUGCGAACGAAAGGGUUAUACCUAACACCAAAUCUAGGUUCGGAGUGAGAAUUGUAAGACUCCUCACAUGCCCCAACGCCAUCAUAAGAUCCAUCACGAGGUCCUAUAUCAUCUCCAAGUUUCCCAUAAGUACUAGGAACUUCAUUCACCUCAUUUUCUUCCUCAAAACCGUAACUCUCAAAUCUGCCCAAGUUUUGAUCAUGGCUAUUUUCAUAGCCUCAGCAAUCUCCCUCAACUUUGUAGCCAUAAAACCCCUCACUACAAACAUAGCCUCCAAUGUUGUAGUCACAAUAAUCCCCGGCCAUCGAAGAGAUGUUCCCCUUAUAUCACCUUUUAAACCUACAAAAUGAACAAACAAGAUUAGUAGUAAAACCUCCUCACCAACACUCGUAUUCACUCACUUUUGUGAUCCUCACAAUUGGAGCGAUAAAUAUUGAAAGUUGCUUAUACUCUGGUAGCCAAUAAGAUGUCAAUUCUACUUGGUGGCCGGAAUAGAUUCUUGUUUGAUCGGCUCAAGACACAAAACAAAAUCUACUUACAAACUUGAAACAAAGAAGUUACGAUGAGUUAAAAACGAGAAAAAUACAUAAAUAACGAAGACACGAAAGAAACAGACUCAACAACUAAACUACAACUAAGUAGGUGAUUACUAGUUGCUAAUUAGUAUUCGAACCAACAAACGAAACUAAAGAACAAUAAAAAUGAAACUAAGAAUCUAAAAUUUGAGCCUAAAAUUGUUGCAUGAACAGUAAAAAUGUGACGUGGCAGCCACGUAUUGGUUGCGGUUCUUUAACAAUUUUUAUUUUUCCAAAGUUGAAAGUCUUGGUCAAUUUCUCAAUUUGGAUUGGUGAAAUUUGGUUAAAAGGAGGGAAUAUAAGUCUUGGAAUCCUCUUUCAAUUUUAAAAGGGAAGACUUGACUUUAUUGUUACAUCUCCUUAAAACAUAGACCUUUAAAACAUGGAAAGUGGUUGGAAGUGGUUGUAAAGUCUUGAGUAUGUAGGAAAAGUCUUUGAGUCAGAAAUACUACACCUUAAAUCUUGAAUUUAUGUCUUGCAAAACUAACACAAUACACACUCCUUUUCUUCAACUUCUAAGAUCAACAACCAUUUUUUUCUUCAACACUAUAUGGAGAUAGUUAAGAACACCAAGAACACAAACUUUUGAGUCUUGAAGUUCUAAGGUUCAAGUAGGACCUCCCAAACAACAACAACACCUUUUCAAGAUUAAAAUCCACAACACAAUCCCCACAAUACACGUUCAAAACUUGAACCAACCACAACAAUACCAACAAUAAUCAGCCACACUUUGGAUUCACAACAACAACAUCAACUUUUAAAGCUCAAGUCUAGAUCUAGACUUUUUUAGUGUUAAGAGGUGAAGAAGCUAACACUAGAAACAACAAAAUAAAUAAAAUGACUCCUAGAUCUAGACUCAAAACAAGAAAAAUCUCGGUUAAGACACAAUAAGAACACUAUUUCGGCCAAGACACAAAAAAGGACAGAUUUGCUUCUUUUUGGAAUUUUCAGCUUUCAACACUUUUUUUUUUUUUGCAAGCAAGCCCAAGAUUGAUCUUGUGAAUACAAAAUCAAGUUAUGCUCUGAUACCAAAUGAUACAAGAAGCACAAAGGAAACACGAAACACACACCAAAAUCAAUCCACAAGCUCAAGAAAUCGAGGACCUCUUUGGUGACCAACUCUCGGAUUCAACAAUACAAUACAAUAACGAGAUGAACAAGGUGUUUAGAACACCAAAACAACCAACCCAAACUAAUAUUAGCAACACAAUAUGAUAAACAAGAUGAGCAACCAUUCAGCCAACAACAACAAACACAAAUCGAGAGUAGAGGACAAGAACAAACACAACAAUAAUACAAGAAAGAAAAGGAUAGAUAGUGAGACCAAGAUUAUUACAACAUUAAGAACCAAGUGUAUUUCAACACCAACUCCUAAUGAAUGUAAUAAUCAAAACCACUCUUACGGUGACCACCAAGAUAAUCGACUCACCUCAAGAUCCACCGUUUUCAAGCAAAGAUCAAUACUAGCUUUUCCAAGCCCUACACUAAGGUGGCUUUUCCAAGCCCUAACUAAGAACUACUCUAAGGUGUUCUAAUCUCAAGAGAGAGGAUUUCAAUGUGUCAUACAUUCGUCAUUCAUAACUAAUGAGAGAAGACCUAAAAAAAUCCUAAUUAUAGUAUAUUACAAAAGAAGUGAAAAAAGACUCCACUACUCUUAAUGACCAAGGGUGGCCCUGGUGUGUUGGAAAACAAUAUGAAUUGUCCAAAAUGCCCUUAAGGCUAAGUGACCAAAAUGCCCUUAAUAAAGGGAACCAAAACGGUGAACCAACAAAGGUGGUCCAAACCCGAGAGUCCCUAAGUCUUCAAGGCUCCAAGCAAUCUUCCACACUCAGGUUUGAUCAAUGGCAGGCUCAAAAUGUCCCCUCCAAGUAUGAUUCUGUGCCCUCCAUGAGACCAAAGCUUGAUUCUUCACAUAGUGACUUUGAAUGAUGUUGUUGAAAGCUAAGGUGGCCAUUAUUCUUGUAUCAGGCUACCGCUUGGCCAAAAAAAGAGAACAAACUAAACACUGGUAGCUACCUGAAAAAUAUCUGCUACUUCCCAUGACUUUGAUCUUGUGAGAAGUCAAGUCAUUCACUUACUUCUCAUCAGUUCCUCCUCUCAUUUUUUCUCAAGAGUAGUUUUCUUUUACCAUUAUCUUCGUCCUUCUUUAAGUACUGAUUUGUAAUUUUUGUUUACAGACUUACGUUCUUAAAUUUCAGAUUAACUGUCACGGAUGCAUGCGGAAGGUGAAAAAACUGCUUAAAAAAAUUGAAGGUACUCAUUUUUCACUUAAUACAAGUUAUGCAUACUAACAGUUACCACCUCCUUUCUCCAACAUUCACACCAGGAGAAAAAGACAGAAGGUGUGCAAAAAUAUUUCAAAACUAUUGAUUUGGCAGAUAUUAAUUAAUCUUUUUCCUAAGGAGUGUCUGCAUCAAACAUACAUGCUUUCAGCAAAAGAACAGAGUAAGUUCAUACUUUAAAAGUUACACACAUCAUGGACAAAACAUUUGGUUUCAGGGGUUUAUCAAGUGAAAAUGAAUGUUGAUGAACAAGUGGUCAUAGAAUCCGGGAAUGUGGACUCCACAACACUGAUCAAGAAGCUAAACAAAUCUGGGAAACAUGCAGAGCUUUUAUCAGAAAACCCAAUGAAAAGUCAAGAAACAGAACUGCUCUAUAACUGGUUCAAUGUGACUUCCACCAAAACCAUGGAGCUCUUAACUGGUGUGACAAUAAGAAGACUCAAAACACAGAACUCCUUAGCUGGCUUAAUAGCAACAAGCAUCAAAACCAAAUGCACAACACUUACAAUUCUUUUGGAACCUCCAAGAGACAGCCUAUGUUUGCCCCUAUUGGACAAGGCUUCGAUCAGUGGGGAAACAAGCAGUUUCUUGACCAAAGUAUCGGGAUUGACUCUUCCACACUAGGAAACAUGGAUUAUCCAUAUAAUGAUCAGGAAGAAAGCAUCAUUAACAAUGCAGCUUGCAGCGCCGCCAGAAUAGGAGUUGAUUUAGGUCAAGAAAGAAAAGGUGUUAAGGUGAUGCAUAGAGGAAAUGCAGAUUCUAGCUCUAGCAAUCCUUGAAGUACUACACCACAGAUAUUUUCCCGAUCCUACUGGGGCAGCCUUUAUUUUUGAGAAGUAACGAAUGAUCCAAACGGUAUGCUGUUGGUGCUGUUAACGAAAGAUCCAAAAGCAUUAUAACAAGUGGUGGAUUACUGGAUUGACUAUAGGUGGUGAAACAUCAGGCAACCCCCCUCUUCACUGAUGGUUUAGCUAAAGGGGCUGUGCAUCAGAAGUGCGCAGAAGAAUUGACAGGGUGAGAGACCUGGAGACGCAGGCUGAUGUUCCGAAGGACUUGUUGGGCACUAGGCAUCUGUUAAUUUUUGAUAAGACAAAGUACGCGAAUACUUUGGCAAAGAAUUAAGUAAUACUUUUUUCGUGUUUUUUGAUCCUAGCAUUACAUAAUUCUGCCAUAAUACCACAAUAUUUCAAUAUUGAAUUCCCAACUUCUAAGGAGGAGGUCACAUAAUAAACUCUAAUAAUCCACAUGAUGCUUUCCAUUUGGUCACAGAACAAAGAAACCACAGCUGCAAAAGAGUUCUUCUUUAGUUUUCAUCCAACACUAAGCUCAGCAAACACCUCAAAGUAACUCAGCCACAAAUCAACACAGUAAACAACAUACAAGUACAUCUACUGUAAACACACUCACAACAAAGUGCAACUCACAAAUAAAGAAUUAUGUUAAACCCCAAAAUAGAAACUCAAAAUAUUAGGUUAAAAUCAUCGAUUAGAAGAAUUAACUAACCUUAAAAUCACCAAAAUAAAGAAGAAAAGGUAAUGAACUAAGUAGAGAAUUAAAUUGGAAGGAGCUGGGAAAUUAAAAUACGUGGAUGAUCAGGAUUAAUUGUGAAUAAAUGAGAUCCUAUGGUUCAGAUGAAGUUAGAGGAAGUUAUAACAAACUCAAGGGAGAGCUACAAGGUAACUAACUACCAAUAAUUUUCUCACCUUCCUCUCUUCUUCUCUCUCCUCUCUCAUCACCUUCUCUCUACUGUUCUUUCUUCCUCCUUCUCACCUCUAUUCUAAAUCUCAAUUGUAGGUCAUGUCAAUGGAGUCUACAAUGUCGUAAACUCGGCUUUUUAAUUCCUGAUUCAUUUAAGUAUUUCUCUUGUAAUUUCCUUUAAAUCAAUAUAACAGAAAAUUGUCCCAAAAAUCUCUUCUUAUUUGCUAAGAGUGUUAGAGGAAACCCCAAAUUUUCUCGAAAAUUGAAGUGGUUGUCGGAGCUGAAGUUGGAGCAGCUUCAAAAAAUUAAGGCCGGCUUCUUGAAGUGUUCCAAGUUGGGAAGGAAAUUAAGACGACGGAGCAGCUUGUUUAGAUGUUGGAGCAGUGAGAUGAAGACGCAAAAUGAACAAGUUCAAUUAGCCUUUAAGACGUCAGAGCAGUGAGAUGACGUCGGAGUUUAGAAGAAAAUUAAACACAAAUAAUCCACGAAAACCUCGGUACUUCCACAUAUACAUAUAUAAAUACUCAUCAAUUCAUAAAACUUAAAACACAUUUCUACAACUAAAAUAACAAAAAAUUACACAAAUAGAAUACAACACCGACAACAAUACUUAAUAAAUCGGUGCCGGCGUGAUUGAAUUUACCGUUUGAGUUUCCAGAUCGGAGCAGUAGGUUAAGAAAAGGGCUUAUUUUGACGGACUUGGUGAAAUUUUUGUGGUGGAAUAAUUAAAUUGCUGUAAUAGCUUUAUUUCCCCAAUAAAGCGUUGCAAUAAAACACCCUAUUGCAACGGUUUUCAAACAACGGUUAUAGUACCAAAUAUUUUCUACUGGAACAAUUUUUUUUGCCAUGCUUGAAAGCCAAAGUUUCGUUGCAAUAGAGGUAAUUUCUAGUAGUGUACUUCUAAAGCACACACAAUUUGAAGCUCGUGAAGCGGCCUCCGAAUGAGAACUCUGUGUGCAACAUCUGCUUCCUGAGCUGCAAAGAAUACAAUUUUUAUGCUUGUGAGAUGUGUAGGUUCCAGAUACCCGUUUCGUGUGCUCUUGGAAAAGAAGAACGGAAACUGAAACAACAUGAUCAUUUCCUAAUCCUCCAGUGAAGGCUCGCCACUUUCCAUUGCAAUGCUUGAGGUAAGGAAGACAAUAGAGAAUCCUCUUAUCUAUGUACAGAAUGUCCAUUCUGGAUCCAUCACAGCUGUGCCAAUUUGGACCCAAAGUUCAACCACAUCGACCAUGACCACCCACUCUCCCUGGAGUUUUCUCUUCCACAAGAAUCCAAUCUCACCUGCGAUAAUGUGUGCAGCAAAAAGCUCCUUCCUGAUUAUUGGCUUUAUCAGUGUGUGCCUUGCAGAUUCUUCGUACACGUCAAGUGUGCCAGGAAAAAGAAAACGUAAGGAGCUUAAUUAAUUAUUGCCCUUCAUUCAUAUAUCAAUACGCUUUUCUUGAAACUCAUGUAUAUUGCGCUUUGCUUGGCCAUUUGAAAGAGUAACGCUGUUUUUUCUUUAUCUACCAAAAGUUUAAAUGAGCUACACUGAUUUCUGUACUUAUUUUUAGGGUUUCAGGGUUGCUGAUGAUAACAUCGAGGCCUUUCCCAAGUUGAAUUUGGCCCUGCUGCCGGAGGCUAAUGAAACCGUGCAACUUUUAGAACGGUUUCUUAAGCAAAAUGGCAUCCUUAAAAAUCUCAAGCCGUCGCAGAUUGACAAUUUUCAACACAAGACGCAUCCAUUAGUGCUCUUGAAUAAUACAAACAAGGAUAAAUUAGUUUGUGAUGGCUGUAUUAGGCCUAUUGUUGACCCGUGUUAUUAUAGUUGUCAACAAUGCAGCUACUUUAUGCAUGUAACUUGCUCUCAGUUACCGGGUUCACUGGAGCUGUAUCACCCCGUUUCACCCGGAACACCCACUUUACAUAAGGCAUCCGGAGUACUGCUGUUUCUUCCGGCAAUGCAGUCAUUGCAAAUUAGACACUAAUGGUUGGUGGUUUGAAUGCAAACAGAGAAAAUGUGACUUCCGCCUCGAGAUGAAGUGUGCUUUAUUGCCUAAAGCUAUUGCACAUAAUCACACAGGCACCCCCUUUCUUGAAUUUCAGUUUCCAGUGAAAAUUGCAGCGCUUGUGAUAAAACCCUCCCUGGUUCUUCAUACGGUUGUGAAGCUUGUGGUUUCUACUUAGGAAAUGAUUGUGCUCUAUCACCGCUGACGAUCACCGUCCAAUGGGAUGAACACCCACUUACCCUCAUUUUUCCCCCUUUUACUGACCAUCCAGAUGAAUUCUUGUACGAGAUCUGCGAAACAUAUGAACACUCCAAGAAUUGGCUAUAUCAUUGUAGGGACUGUGAUCAAUAUUUCCAUCCACAUUGCAUCCCUCAACAUGGUCUGUCUCGUAAUAUCAAGUUUGGUAGCACCAUUCAGAUUGCUGAGCACUCUCUAGAAUUGGUUGAAAAAGGUGAAUUUAAGUCCCAGUGUGGUGUAUGUCAGGACCAUUUGGAUAAGAAGAACGCCCUUCUGUGCACUAUGUGUAAUUUACGUAUUUGCUGUAAAUGCGCUUGCGACAUCCUGGAAAACAAGGCUAAGAAAAACACAGAAGUUAUAUCAUUAGCUCUUGGGUUUGUCUUUUCUUCCGUGAAGUGUAUUACCAUUAUAAUUAAUCAUCCCGUUACUGUUGGUUUAAAUUACAGUACUAACUUUUAUUCAUAUGUACAUAUAUGUAUAUUGCAAAUAGAGGAUCAAGCUGGUGUUGGAUCAAUAUCGCUCACUAGAAACGACCAUCCAGAUAGCAGCUAAUUGAAGGGUGUUUGAGUGAACUUUUUGAGUUCUAAAUAUCAUUGGAGCAAAUUGAAGCUAAGUUGUGCAGACUUUUCACUUUUGAUGCUGUACCCCUGUUAGAUUCUCCAAAAAUACACUACGUUUGGAGUAUCCGACAUGCACCCGUUGACAUUUUUGAAGAGUCCGAGAAACAUAGAAUUGAGGGUGUUUUGAUUGAAACUUUCUGGUUGAAAAUAUUUUCCUGAAAGAUGACUUUUGUCAAUAUCAAACUCAAUCCAAUCCUCAACAGUUAUAGUGGUGUUAAAACAUUAGGGAGAUAACUUGUGUAUUUCUCAAAAGAUACUUCUGUAUGACUCUGUGUUUUGUCUAACUCAAGCCAAAUUGUUGGCAUUUGUGGGGAGAAUUGCCCACGUCCAUAUAAGCAGACCACUAGUUCAUUUCCCAAUCAAUGUGGGAUUCCAACUUUUAAGAGUCAUUUGGUACGUACUAAAUUAUCCUUGGAUUAUAAUCCCUAGACUAAUUUAUCCCACUGGAGAGAUGGGAUAAAUUUAUAUUAUCUAGCAAACGUUGUAUAUAUCUUAUCUCAAACUUAAUCCUCGGAUAUCAACGACCCCUUAGGAUUGAGUUAGGACCUAGGUCCAUUUUAACAAGGUAUC
rnacentral:lncRNA from 1 species